UGCAUAUCUAAACUCCUUGGUUUCUUAAAAUUUUCAAGAACCGAAACCUCCAGAAGGUUCGGGUUCGGUUUUUCAAAAUUUUCAAGAACCGAAACCAACCGAAGGUUCGGGUUCGGUUUUUCAAAAUUUUCAAGAACCGAAACCAACCGAAGGUUCGGGUUCGGUUUUUCAAAAUUUUCCUGAACCGAAACCAACCGAAGGUUCGGGUUCGGUUUUUCAACUUUUUCCAACCGAAACCAACCGAACGUUCGGGUUCGGUUUUUCAAAGUUUUUUUUUAAUCGUAUUUUUUUCUUUUAACUCUUUUAUAAUUUUUUUUACGUUUUUUUUUUAAUUUUAAUUUUUAUUUUUAUUUUCAAUUUCAAAAACUCCAAAAAUAUUUUAUUUUUUUUUGUGUGCUCAUUUGUUUAUGGGGAUAUAUUUGAUGACUUACUUAAGUGUCCCUAGAAGCAUGCUGCUGUAUGUGUCCCAAGCCUCAUAAGAUUUUGAAUAAUAGCCUUCAUGACCUGGUAAACACAAACCUUGUCUUCCCAAUAAGGCUAACUUAUUUAUUCUAAUCGUGAGCUACCUCACUCUAUUCUCACACGAGUUCAGAGUCUCCUGCUUGGUCCUUAUGUUCGCAGCAGAGGUACUAUGUCUUCUUUCACCAUCUCCAUUACAAUUCUCCAUAACAUUCGUUUCAUCACUGUAACCCUUGAGACUCUCAGAAACUACCACUGAGGUUUAUGGUUACACAACCUCUGUGUUUAUGAUCUUAGUUUCGUGCCACUACGAACUGAGUGAAACCCAAAAUUCAACACCAACGAAUUGACGGUGACCAAUUAACUUGAUCAAGUUUUCACCAAUGAAUUGACGAAUGUACCUUCAUGAAAUCUCAAUUUCUUUUCUUUUUGCGUGGUUCCAAUGAAAUUGUUACACACCAUAACAUUUCUUCCCAAGGGAUCCAGUUUUAAAUUUUUAUCUGAGAUUUCAUAUUCAUCCAAGCCACUACAGAAUCAACUCAAACCUACUUGUUCAACAGACUACACUGGUCUCACAAGUACUUUGUUCACAUUCGUUCUUAUAUCAAGAAUUGAAUUGAUGAAUCAAAGCGAAACCACCCUUAAUUUGCCUUAUUAAAAGAAGCCUUUCAACAUUUAUUAAUAAAUGUUUGAUCGUAAUUCAACGGGAUUCCACACUAACACUUUGAGGUCUCUCUUGACCUUGAAGGAAGAGAUUCGUGCCCGGGAUCAUCAGUUUCGUGUCAUUAUUGACAUCACAGAUUAUCCUAAAAAGAGUUGCUUUAUUUCUUUAUCUUUUACACUCUUUGCACGAAAAUCCUAGAUUUUCAAAAAUUCCGUUACUAAUUAUUUUAUAGGCUGGAAAAUUAAUGGAUGGUUCAUAAUGAAGCUGUGGUUACCAAUAAUCCACGUGGGCGUUUUAUUCAAAAGACAGCAGAUUAAAAAGGGGAAGAGACAAAAGAUGCUGACGCGGCGGAAGUUCAAAGGAUAGAAAUUCAAACGACGGUAAAAGGCGGGCGCGUGAAUUUGAAGAGGCCGCGCUUUUUCUGACACUAUUGGACGCGUGUCCAGUAUUGAAGCGUCAUCCAUCAGGCAUUAAUGGCGCGUGUGGAAAUGGAAACGGUUCCUCUCUCUGAACCGGCGCUUAUUGGGCGGCGUGAUCCUAGGAAUCUGACACUCUCUCUCCUACGUGAUCAUCGCACGUCCCAACUGUCACCAAUCAGUCACUCAAAAACCCUUCCAUAUUUCCAUAAGAGAUUUGAAUCGAUCUUUCUCUCUCCUAUCACCUACUAUAAAAACCCAUCCAGACCACCUUUUACCUCUUUACUGCCCCAUAAUUUCCAAAGCAAAAAUACUUCCAAACUCUCUCCCGGUUAUCUUCUUCUCCAACCUGCAACAAUGGCUGAAUCCUCUUCCGUCCAUGCUACUUCUCAGAUUCUCCCCAUCAGACCUCAACAAUGCCUUGUCAUUGAUCUGAACCCACAAGCCUAUGAUCCCUACAUGUCGCCGAUUAUUGAAUGCCUCAAGUACUCCCAACUUGCUCCGGCAUUGUCCAAGAUUGAAACGGUGCCAAUGGUGGCUCUUUCUCAGGUCUAUGCGACGGCCUACUACGACAAGGGCGUCGACAGGAUCUUUUUCGAAGUGGCGGAACACAAGACGUCGAUUUCUCGUUCCCGCUUCUGCUCUAUGCUUGGGUUUGCUGCUGACCCAUCGCGUGUUCACCCGGAGACAAUUCCGGUUGGUAUGCUCUACAGCAUGUUCUACAACAUGGGCUACACGGAAGUUCUCACCUCCGUCGCCAGAUUCAAGAAGUCAUGCCUACCGCCCCAAUGGAAUGGGUUAUUUACAGUUCUCUUCAAGGGACUGUCAGAACGAAGCUCAGGAUCGGACGGGGCCAGUCGUCUUUUCCUGUCGAUUAUGUAUGCGGUGUACAACGGGAUCAAUCUGGACUACGGAUUUGUCCUUUGGCAACAACUGAUUCAGAGCCUCUCUUCCGUUUCCCGACACUCCGAGGUGUCACUAGCCCGGUUCUGGAUCUUGAUCACAAGAUGGGCUAUGGACAAGUUCGAUGUCCAAACUGCUGACGGUGCACCGAUGUCUUCGAUUGGUACGUUCCACACCACGAAGAUCAUCGUAUCCGCUGCAUCGAAAUUCUCCUUCAUUGGCUCUAUCCCGGAGUCGAUGUAUGGUAGUGUGCCAUCAGACAGCAGUAUGAUCAAGGCGAUCAAGGAGUUAGGGCCAUCUGGUCCGAGGGAACUGACACCGGACAUGCUGCGAUCAAUUCAUGAUGCUGACAAACCGGUGGCAAGGGGUAAGAAGGCAGACAAGGGGAAGAAACCAUCAAAAGCCCCAAAACCCACUCCCAAGAAACGCAAACAACCGAAGGCUGCUUCCUCUCCAAAACCGAAAAGGAGGAAGACCCAACCGAAACGGACGCUCGUCCUUUCCUCAACCUCCAGUGAAUCCGAAGGUGGGAGUUCGGACUCUGAGGGGUCACAAGGAGACGAAUCUCCACAAAGAGGCAACACACCCCCUCGGUCCCCAACCCCGGAGAUGGAACUUCACCAAUCCCCAGUUCCUUCCCCUCCACCCACAAUACCUAUUUCCAUUCCCACCAUAACCCCUACUAUACCACCAACCUCAUUCCCUAUACCUCCACCCAUAUUCACCACCUCAACCGAAACACCACCUGUAACCGAAACCCCUCCCGUAACCGAACCUCCACAAACCGAAACCCAUACACAACCACCACCCGAAACUAACCCCCCACCUACUCAACCUGAACCAACCAAACCCAUAACACCCCCAGCUUCACCACCACCUCAAUCUCCAGAAGACGCCUCCGAUGGCGAUGAUCAAUACCUAGGUGGUGACCACCUGAACUUUGAUUCGGUCUACUAUAGUCCGUUUCAAGUUCAAAGUGAUGAGGAGGAUGAUGCUCCUGUAACCAAGAAGCAUCUCCGCGAGCUGAACGAGAAGGUUGAUCAACUUCUCGCCUCCUCUUCCAAUCAGCAGUCAUCCUUAUCUGAAGCUGCCCUUCAGAGGAUAGUUGAUGCCUUCUCUAGGGCUCAACAUGACUCAGUGGCCUCUGCUACUGCUGCAAUAGACGCCUCCACCCGAGCUUGUGAGGCAGCGACCGAAAAAGUCGAUAAACUAUUCCAUGACGCUACAAUCCUGCUGCAGUCUAUGCAGGAAAGCGCCGAAGCCACCAAAACAACUCUGGAACCACUUGUUAAUCAAUUGGCCCAGUUUGUAAAGACGGAGUUAUCCUCGUUCGCUACCCUCAGACAAAACCUUAGCGACGACAACUCGGCACUCCGUGCCUCCAUUGAAGCCCGCUUGGCAAAGCUACAAGAGGAUCUUGCGGCUGAAAAUAAACUGAUGGACGUCCUGGCGAGUAAGACUACUGCCCUCAAGGUCAAGAGCACCCAACUUUCCAACUCCGAACAACAAUUGGAGGCUCUUCGAUCCGAAAGGGAAAUCAUCAAGACGUGUGUUUCGGAUGUCCACGCCGCUCUAUCCAACAUCCUGGAAGCACACGACCCCAUCCUCAAUCACUCGGUGAGGCGUACCCUCGCUGAGAAACUCUCUCCGGCCAUGGCUCUCUUGAGUAAAAUUGAAGGCCUACCCAGUUUCGUGUCCAUUCCGAAACAAGGGGGAGAUGAGAAGAAAGGAUCGAAACCACCUCCUUCCUCAAAAGCAACUCACACAACCGAACCACCCCCAACUGGUCAUGCCUCGGGUUCGGGUGUGAAGGACAAGGGCAAAAACAUUGCAGAGGGAGGAGAUGAAGAUGAAGAUGAAGAUGAAGACAAGGAGACUAUUGCGGACAUGUUAAAGAGAAAGAACAGUCGCAAUACUGAUGACGAUGUCAGUCGUGUGGCACGUGAAGCUGAAGAAGCCGAACGUAAACAAAAAGAAGCCAACGAUCUCCUUGAGAGCCGAAAGCUGCUCUUCCCUGCCUGGACCAGGGAUCGUCUGAUAAAAGAGGCCAUAGAGACUCCAAGCAUACUAUGGCUCGAGCCGGUGAUAUCGUUCGACUGCAUCAACUCGGUCGAUUCGCAAUUUGAUAUGCCGCUGACUCGAAAGGCGUUCAUCUUCCACGCCUUCUCCAACAUUUUCGAAGUCCCGCAUCCGAACGAUGAGCUUGACAGGGAGCUCAUUGACUUUUAUCUGGAGGCCGCUCGCCCUCAAUACCUUACAUGGAGCGCCCAGAAGAUUGUCAAUGUUCGGGUGAUGAAGCCGUUUGCCGUGGGGAGAUUCACAAACGUCAAGUUCAAGCUUAUCCGAGGAUCUGCAAGAACUGCUCACAUGAUCUCUCUGGCGGAUCUGCCCAAUCUGAACCCUCAUGAUUGGAUAGUCUUGUACAACAUCUUGCUGACAAACGAAGCCGAAUAUGGUCCCAUCUUAGACCAUGUCAAAAGGAUGCUGGCAUGCUAUAUCAUGGAGGUGGCCCUAAUGGAUCAGGAGGUUGCCACAGUGUUUAAGAAGAAACCGAAAGUCAAGCCUGUGGGAUCGGCCAGUGAUCUAAACACGAUGAAAAUGGGCAAGAUAGAUUCGAGGCGAAACUCUGUGAUGUUCACCAGAGCCGAAGGACAGAAAUGUCUGUUCGCGUUAGCUGACAAGCACCUCUACACCACUACCUGCUUGGAACACGUUCUAUCUAUCGUCAAGCGGUGUAAGGACAAUUCGGCUGAUGACAUCAAAUAUUUUGAAGAUAUGAUCAAUUGGUACAUCCGGUUUAGACAGACCAUCCUUUCCAUAACCAAGUGUCUGUUUAGUACCGUGAAGAAGAAGGUACCAGCUUCAGCCGCCGGCCCAAGUACGAAGUGAUGGUCUCGCUCCAAAUUGACGCAAAGGGGGAGAUUGUUGGGCUGAAGUUCUGUUUUGUAUUGCGUCUUUUGGGCUCGUAGAUUAACUUUGUAUUCUCCGGUUUGGGCCUGUCCAACCGAGAGCCUUUUAUGUAUUGUAUAUAAGUUAUCGCUUGCAUGCAUAUUAGGUUAAGAUUCAAGAUUUCUGUUUUAGCGUUCCAAAGUUUACGAAAUUGCUCUCUUGUAAUCUUCCAAUCCUUUACAGUUGAUGUUCUUAAUCGAGCUCUUCUAAGGAUUUUAUUUAAUCAUUCGACACGUUUGAUUCAAGCUGUUUGUUCUUAUUAUUGCGUUCUGCCUUGCUGUUUAUAUUGUGUUCUUGCAGUUUCAUAUUCAUAUACUUGUUCACGAUCUAAUCGAUCUUUAUAGAUUAAAAGUUAUUAUUUUAAAUCUCAUCAGAGACUUUUGAACAUUUCAUUUCUGAUGCUAUUGUUAUUUAUUUAUUAAUUCAAAAAGGACUACAAUACUUGACUUAUGUCAUUACAUUGACUUGAAAUAUCGGGUUGUCACAACAGCGGCCCCGGCCUUGCUGGACCUUCGACCUAGAGUCGAAUCCCUUGGAUUUCUUCGCAGAAAGCCCUGUCUCCUGUCCCUCCUCCGCUUUCCUCUUACUGAUGUGCUCUAAGUCAAUCUCCAUCCCCUCGCCCUGGCAAUCAUGGAAUCCAGGGUCGGGCAUGCCGAGUAGCUGACAUGCUCCUAAAUGUCAUCUCUGAACAUGUCAUGAUAUCGAGUCUUCCGCAUCUCCUGAUCCCUCACGUAAUGAGGCACCAAGAAGGCCCUCUCCCGGAACAUGGCCGUAAUAUUCGAGACUAUCUCUGGAGUUUGUCUCAUGUCGAGAAACUCCCUAGCCAGCUGCUGAAGCUCCACAGCCGGUGCAAACUUACCCCUAAACCUGGUCACAAAUUUUGACCUGGUCAUAGCCUCAAUGUAACAUCUGGACUCCCAGGUACGUUAUUUAUGUGUUUAAUUUUGGGAUUUAUUGAGUGACUCGACGAGUUGUGAGUCCAACUCGUCGAGUAGAGUCGAGUUGACUGCGUGAGAUUAAUGAGCGGACUCGACGAGUCAGAGAGCCGACUCACCAAGUAGGUGUUGUAUAGCGAAACCCUAAAUCCCUAGGUUUGGGGCCUAUAUAAGGGAACUGAUAGCCUUAUUUUCGGCUCAUUAGCUACCCAACCUUCUUAAGUGAAACCCUAAAAGUGUGUGGUGAGCUAUGAGAGUCUCCAAGUUAAUCGUGAGAAAUUUUAAUGCGUCUUUUGAGGAGAAGGGGAGUUGUCCAGCAAGGAACAAGUAAGAGUUGUUGGAUCAAGGGUCAAUUCGUCCAAAGCUUCAAGGGGAAGGUAAAAAUUAUGCUCCUUUGUCAUUCUUAUGGUUAGAUCUUACGAUUUUGGAAGGUUAGGGAUUAUACCACCUUUAUUUGGGACUUCGAGCUUACAGAUUUGUCUUGAGGUUUAGACCUCAGAUCUGGACCUUAUAAGGUCCCUAGAGUCCAAAGGUCCGAACUUUAUUCACCAAUACGAAGGAUAUUGUGCUUGACACAUUGUGAGAGCAUGUUUUGGUAUGUUAGAGCAAAACUACCAUCCAUGAACGUAAAGAUCAAAGUUUUACGUGACAAUGGAGUCUUGGGAUUCCAGAUCUACUGCUUGGAGUGAUAUAGCUGCUUUGAAUCAUCUGAAUGAGAAAUAAGAUUGAAGGGACUCGCCGAGUCUAUGAGCUGACUCGACGAGUCGGCUGGGGUUUUUCCCCGAUGAGUCUGGAUAUGGGUGACUCGGCGAUUUGGCGAGGCAACUCGAUGAGUCAAGGUGGAUUUUAGCAAUAUGAAAGAAGAAUCAAGGAGAGUCGACGAGUCACAUAGAUGCACUCAGCGAGUCGGGUCAAACAUGGACUGUUGACCCGAGUUUGACUUAUGUAGACUUUAGGGUUUGGUCACACAUGAGUAAUGGAGACCAUGGAGGGGUGAAAUGGUCUUUUACCCAAUCCUAGAGCUAGAGAGAGAGAGAGGGAAACCUUUUGGUAUAUUGAGUAUGCAUAGUGUAUCAAUUAGAGAUAUUUAUUCAAUGUGUUAGGCGGAGGCUAGUUCGAGGUUUCCGAGUGCAACAUUGUUACUUUUUAGCUUUCGAGGUGAGUCUUCUGACUAUACUUACCGUGAGUGGUAUCGUCAUGUGACCGAGGUGUCUUAUGUGCUUACUUGUGUAUUGUGAUAUUCUGUGUCAUGACUUUGUGAUUUCUGUCGACUUUUAUUAUUAUGAUCUUUUUGAGUUAGAACCGGAGGGUCCACCCGAGUUAUAGGACUGGAGGGUCCCACUGAGACACAUUGACCGGAGGGUCUUAUCUGAGUAUGGCCAUGAGAGCCUACUGAGAUAUGUGUAGUAUUUUUGGGGAACUCGCUAAGCUUCAUGCUUGCCGUGUUAUGUGAUAUGUGUUUCAGGUACUUUUCAGAUUACCGGGAAGGCGUCGGCUCGAUUGUACAUACGAGAGAAAGAGUUAUGUUCGGAGGAUCCUGGAUCUGUGAUAAAUAAAUUUUUAAAAAAAUGUGUUGAUAAAUUGUUACUUGUGAAUUUGAGGAUAUGUGAUGCGGGCCCUAGUGUGGAGGAUCGGGCCCUUGCGUUCCUAGAGGCCCACGAUCGUGUGACUAAAGGGACUUCACGAAAAUGGCCAUAACUUUGGCUACGAAUCUCCGUUUUGGGCCUACGACCAGUCAAAUCGAAGCUUGGAGCAAGGAGCACGUCUAGAUAAGUCCCCGAAGGGGACUUACCCAUUUUUGAGUCCAUAAAUCGCUUUCUAAAUGGAGUUAUGAGCAAUUUUUGUUAUUUUUCCUUAAUUUUUGGGUUUUGUUUUUGGGUUUGUAUUUGGCCCAUGGACUUUUAGGGUUUCAUUUUAAUUUCUGCUUCUUAUUUAACUGUUUUUGAUGUAAUUUGGAUGGUCAAUCAUCAAUUUUAUGAACUUUCGAUUUUCUCCCAAAUUCUGUGUGUUAACCCAGAUUUUGAAGCCAAUCCCACGGUAUUCGUAGAAUCAACGUGGUUUUGAAGAGAUUGUCCUGGCUAUUCUUUUAGAAUCAACAGGUUCAUUCUUGGUUAUCUUUGUGUUGUUUUUUUGCGCUGCAUCAGUUGGUAUCAGUGCCGAAUUCCUGGUUCAAAAUGCCUCCGAGGAGAAACAGGACGCCCGCUAAUGUUCAUGAGCAAGAACUAGAAGAACGUAUUAUGGCACGAAUGGAGGAGAGGAUGGAUCAAAUGGUUGACCAACUGACUGAUAGGAUGGUCGAACUGAUGAAUCGAGGAGGGCAAAGGUCUCGAACACAUUCUCAAGUGGAAGAUGGUGAAUUUGGGAACCCGUUCGGCGGCAGUGACGGUUCAUAUUCUGAAGAUGAUCUAGAAAGGCGGCCAAGGCGUGAUCAUAGAGGUGACAAUAGGCGUUGGGAGGCCGGAAUGAGAAUUGAUAUCCCAGAAUUCGACGGGGUCAGUUUGAAUCCAGAGGGGUUCAUCGACUGGUUGGCUACUGUUGAGGAAGUUUUUGAGUUCAAAGAAGUCCCUGAAAACAAAAGAGUGUCAUUGAUUGCUACCAGGCUACGUGGUAGGGCAUCUGCAUGGUGGCAACAACUGAAACUGACACGAGACAGGCUCGGAAAGUCAAAGGUCGUGACUUGGAGGAAGAUGAAGAAGUGUUUACGAUCCAACUUCCUACCCCAUAAUUUUCAAAGGUUGAUGUACCAACGGUUGCAAAAUCUGAAGCAGGGUGCCAAAUCAGUUGACGAUUACACAACUGAGUUCUACCAAUUGAUUGCCCGAAACGAUAUCCAGGAGACAGAGGAACAACUCGUUGCUCGAUAUAUUGGGGGUCUACGGGUCCAAAUCAUGGACUCUGUAAAUAUGUUUGACCCGGUAUCUAUUUCUGAAGCGCACCAACGGGCGUUGGCUUUUGAGAAACAAAGUCGUCGGGUGGGCGGUUCGUCUUCAACUGCCAAUAUUGGAGGAAGUCCCGGGACGGGUGGUAUGGUACCCCGUGUUGUUCCUAAUCAACAAAGACCGACAUCUAACAGUGUUGGACCAAACCCUAGGACAACUGUUAGUAGCAGCUUGAAGUGUUUUAGUUGUGGGGAGACAGGUCACCGACAAUCAGAGUGCAAGAAGGUCGGAAAACGUCAUUUGUUUGCUGAGCAAGAUGAUUGGCAAAAUGAUGAUGCCGGUGAAAAUUACGAAGAUCCCCCUGUGUAUGACGAAGAGCAUCAAUGCGAGGAGGAAGUUGUAACUGGAGAUGUGGGGGUAAAUUUGGUGGUAAGGCGGUCUUGUUUUACACCAAAAGUUGUUGGUGAUGAUUGGCUCAAACACAACAUCUUUCAGUCGACAUGUACUAUUUUGGGAAAGGUUUGUACUUUUGUUAUUGAUUCAGGAAGUUGUGAUAACCUUAUAUCUGAAGAAGCAGUUCAAAAGUUGGCUUUGAAAACAGAAAAUCGCCCUAAGCCUUACAAGCUACAGUGGCUUAAGAAGGGUGGCGAGGUCACUGUAUCUAAACGAGCCCUUGUUCAUUUUUCUGUUGGUACCACGUAUAAAGAUGAUGUGUGGUGUGAUGUGGUUGCUAUGGAUGCAUGUCAUUUGUUGUUGGGCAGACCUUGGGAGUAUGAUCGUAACAUAGAUCAUAACGGGCGGACUAACACUUACAGUUUCUUGUUUGGUGGUGUGAAGAUAACAUUGGUUCCCAGUAAGCCAAAUGAGCCAGUUCCGAGAACUUCGGGUACUCUACUAACCCUUAAUCAGUUUGAAGACGAGUUGGAGGCGGAAGGUAAAAUUUUUGUAUUGCUCGGGAAGGAAGUCGCUAAGGAGGUUGAAAUUCCUGAGGCUAUGGUCCCUCUGCUCAAGGAAUUCGCUGAUGUUUUCCUAAUGAAUUACCNUUUUGUAUUGCUCGGGAAGGAAGUCGCUAAGGAGGUUGAAAUUCCUGAGGCUAUGGUCCCUCUGCUCAAGGAAUUCGCUGAUGUUUUCCCUAAUGAAUUACCUGAUGGUUUGCCACCUUUACGUGAUAUCCAACAUCAUAUUGAUUUACAACCAGGAGCUCAGUUGCCUAAUAGGCCACAUUACAGAAUGAGUCCCGGAGAGCAUGAGGAGUUGCGACGACAGGUGGAGGAUUUGAUUUCAAAAGGUCAUGUUCGAGAGAGCAUGAGCCCGUGUGCUGUUCCUGCUUUGUUGACUCCUAAAAAGGAUGGUACUUGGCGUAUGUGUGUUGAUAGUCGCGCCAUCAACAAGAUCACGGUGAGGUAUAGAUUUCCAAUUCCUCGACUUGAUGACCUACUUGACCAGAUUAGUGGUGCCUCUAUCUUUACGAAACUGGACUUGAAGAGCGGGUACUAUCAGAUUCGACUUAGGCCUGGGGAUGAGUGGAAGACUGCCUUCAAGACUCGUGAAGGAUUGUAUGAGUGGUUGGUGAUGCCUUUCGGUUUAUCAAACGCUCCUAGUACAUUUAUGCGUGUGAUGAACCAGUUGUUCAGGCCCUUUAUUGGUAAAUUUGUAGUCGUUUAUUUUGAUGACAUACUUAUUUACAGUGCUACUUUUGGUGAGCAUGUCAACCAUGUGAGGCAGGUUUUGACUGUACUUCGACGGGAUAGUUUGUAUGCAGCUAUGAAGAAAUGUGUGUUUAUGGUUCCUAAAGUCUUGUUCUUGGGGUACGUUGUUUCUGGGGAAGGAAUACAGGUGGACGAGUCUAAAGUAGCAGCUGUCAGACAAUGGCCAAGUCCAACUACCAUCACUGAAGUUCGAAGCUUUCAUGGCCUUGCUUCAUUCUAUAGGAGGUUUAUUCCAAACUUUAGUUCUAUUAUGGCACCGGUGACUGAUUGUAUGAAAGGGAAGACCUUUACUUGGACCGAAGCAGCAGAAUCAGCUUUCCAAUUAGUAAAAGAGAAGCUUACUACAUCACCGAUUCUUGUAUUGCCAGACUUUUCUCAAGUGUUUGAAUUACACACGGAUGCUUCCAAGGUUGGGAUUGGAGCAGUUCUAAGUCAAGGAGGACGACCGGUUGCCUAUUUUAGUGAGAAGUUGACGGGGCCAAAGCUGCGUUAUAGCACUUAUGAUGUUGAGUUCUAUGCAGUGGUCCAAGCUGUAAAGCAUUGGCGCCAUUAUCUAUUUCAUAAGGAAUUUGUUUUGUUCACAGAUCAUGAUUCAUUAAGACAUAUUCGCAGUCAAGAUAAGGUGUCACACAAACAUGGGAGGUGGAUGUCGUUCUUGGAAAAAUUCACUUUCGUGGUUAAACACAAGUCUGGGAUGUCAAAUCGGGUGGCUGAUGCAUUGAGUCGGAGGAGUAAUUUGCUAGUUUCCAUGAGGGUUGGUGUGCCGGGGAUGGAUGUCCUCAUGGAGCAGCUAACGGUUGAUCCUUAUUUUUCUGUUGUUCUGCAGGGUAUACAAUCUGGACAGAUGUCUGAUUUUCUACUGCAUGAAGGUUUUCUUUUCAAAGGCAAUCAAUUGUGCAUCCCUGAUUCAAGUCUCCGCCUUCAAAUCAUUAGGGAGCUGCAUGGUGAAGGGCAUGUCGGCCGAGAUCGCACUUUACAGUUGGUACAAUCAUCUUAUUUUUGGCCUACAAUGCGCAAGGAGGUGGAUAGAUAUGUUAAACGGUGUCGAAUCUGUCAGGUGUCAAAGGGCACAUCUACCAAUGCAGGACUCUAUAUGCCUUUGCCUGUUCCAUCACAACCUUGGGUAGACAUCAGUAUGGAUUUUGUGUUGGGUUUACCACGUACUCAACGGGGAAAUGAUUCAAUAUUUGUGGUUGUUGAUCGUUUUUCUAAGAUGGUGCACUUUAUUCCAUGCAAAAAGACGACAGAUGCAGUUAAUGUAGCCCAGUUAUUCUUUCGAGACGUCUACCGUUUGCAUGGAUUACCGUCUUCUAUUGUAUCAGAUCGAGACACUAGGUUUUUGAGUCAUUUUUGGCGUAGCCUAUGGAAAAUGGUGAACACUCAGCUCAAUUUUAGUAGUGCAUAUCAUCCUCAAACGGAUGGCCAAACAGAGGUUGUCAAUCGAUCCCUUGGUAAUAUUUUGCGGUGUUUAGUGGGUGAUCAUGUGAAGACCUGGGAUCAGAAGCUUUGUCAAGCUGAGUUUGCUCAUAAUCAUGCUAUCAACCGAAGUACUGGAUAUAGUCCAUUCCAGGUGGUCUAUUCUGUUCAGCCACGGGGACCACUUGAUUUGAUGUCACUGCCUGUUUCUAGGGUAGUUCCAAAGAAAGUGCAGGAUUUUGUUGGAGGACUACAUGAUGUUCAUAGGGCUGUUCAUGACAACUUGGUCCGAGCUAACUCCAAGUACAAGCAAGAUGCAGAUAAAAAACGCAGACAAGUUGAUUUUGAAGUAGGUGAUUUUGUUUGGGCUGUUUUGACUAAAGAUCGUUUUUCGGUUGGUGAGUACAACAAGCUAUCAGCUAAGAAGAUUGGACCAGUGGAGAUUGUGGAGAAGAUUAAUUCCAAUGCUUACCGUCUACAGUUGCCAAGCCACAUUCGUUGUUCCGAUGUAUUCAAUGUAAAGCAUUUGCUUCCUUAUUAUGGGGAUUCUUCUGAUGAUGACCAUGGUGCACAUUCGAGGUCGAAUUUUGUCUACCCGGGAGGGGAUGAUGCGGGCCCUAGUGUGGAGGAUCGGGCCCUUGCGUUCCUAGAGGCCCACGAUCGUGUGACUAAAGGGGCUUCACGAAAAUGGCCAUAACUUUGGCUACGAAUCUCUGUUUUGGGCCUACGACCAGUCAAAUCGAAGCUUGGAGCAAGGAGCACGUCUAGAUAAGUCCCCAAAGGGGACUUACCCAUUUUUGAGUCCAUAAAUCGCUUUCUAAAUGGAGUUAUGAGCAAUUUUUGUUAUUUUUCCUUAAUUUUUGGGUUUUGUUUUUGGGUUUGUAUUUGGCCCAUGGACUUUUAGGGUUUCAUUUUAAUUUCUGCUUCUUAUUUAACUGUUUUUGAUGUAAUUUGGAUGGUCAAUGAUCAAUUUUAUGAACUUUCGAUUUUCUCCCAAAUUUUGUGUGUUAACCUAGAUUUUGAAGCCAAUCCCACGGUAUUCGUAGAAUCAACGUGGUUUUGAAGAGAUUGUCCUGGCUAUUCUUUUAGAAUCAACAUGUUCAUUCUUGGUUAUCUUUGUGUUGUUUUUUUGCGCUGCAUCAAUAUGUGACAUGUGUUUAUUGUGUUUUGAAAUGAAAAUUUUGUUUGAAAAUUUACGGUGGUACAAAUUAGUAUAUAGCCUUGGUUUAAGGGAUUUGGAUGCACUUUCGGGUAUGUCUGGACUCAAACUGAGGAUUUAAGAUAAGUUUUCAAAAGAAAAGAUUUUUCUGAAAUGAGUACGAUUUUCUAAGAGAAAGACGAGAAGAAGCAGCGUGUACAAUGAACCAGAGCCCGAACGGUGAUUUCCCAAAAUACCCUUACUUAUGUGUUUGUGUUAUGAGCUCUUAUUGAGAUAUUAGUGAAGCAUGCUAGAAGAUAGGCUAUGCAUUUCAUAUAUUAGGGCUAGAGGUGCCUGAUUUGUGAUGCCUUAUCCUAGGGGUUAUUGCUAUCUGUUAUGUCCCUUGAGUAUGUGUUGAGUAAGAGUAUCUAGCAGCAAUCACUUAGAGAGGGAGUUCUGAGUCAAGAGAUAAUCUAGGAGAGAUACCUAGAUGAGACUUGAGGAGUCUACUAAGACGAGUAAUUAGAUACAAUGAGAUGUGAGAUAGCAUGAGUUCCAUCAUGCCUACUAAGAGCAAGUAGGGCAAAUAGAGUUGUAACCUAGAGUGGUUUUACGUGUUGGUAGAGAUUAUUCGAUGCUUGAACGCUGCUUUCUUUGUGCUUUGUCGAACUCUUCAUGAUGGGAGUCAGCUACUAAGUGAAUAUGAUGAUAUUCAUGAGGUAGAUGGUUGGCAUUAUAAAGAGUUCUUCAGCAGCUGGUGGCAUGUAAGUGUGAGAACCUAGGAAGAGCCUACGAGGGGUGUCUGUGGUCAGAAGAGUAUGCUGAUAGAGGAGAAUAUUCGCUGGGUAGCGACCAAGUAUAUCAGGAUUGGUUAUCGAGAAUGGUUGAGCAGCUAUUUCGGAAAUCUGAGACGAUUCGUGUGGAAAGUAUGGGUAGAUGUAGUAGGUAGUAUGGGCCCGUACUACUGAAAGUAGAGGACCCAUACUCGAAACAUGGAGAGUUCCAGAGGUUCUAAGUAGCAAAUUGAGAGGUGAUAACAUGGUUCGAAUACCAUGAUUCGCGGCAGAUUGAAAGGUGAUAACAUGGUUCGGGUACCAUGAUUCGUGGCAGAUUAAGAGGUGAUAAUAUGGUUCGAGUACCAUGGUUCGUGGCGAUUAGUGCUUCAGAUUUUAUCACUUAUCUCGUUGUGAUUGAUCAAACUGAGAGCAUAUAUGAUAGAGUGUGGGGCCAGAGGGCCAUGUCGAACUAGUUUCAAUAGAGCAUACCUUGAGAGGGAAAUCGAUUUAUUUUACCAGAGAUUUUUCGUCAGACGCCAGUAGAGUUGCAAGACUCAGGGAUGAGUAUAGCUGAUGCUUACCAGAGGAUCACGGUCUGAGUUGAGCAAUCAACCGAUAUAUGAGGCAUCACCUUCUGUGACAAGUGUUGCGUUGUCCCUGUUUCGUGGGAGAAGCAAAAGAGAUAGCGAGCUUCCGGUUUCAGAAUUUGGAGGCAAACCCCGUGGGUAGCAUAGGUGUGACAAUCGUCAAAAUUUGAGUAAGUUCUGGAUUUGAUAAACUUAGUUGCACGUGUAGGCACGACACAUACUAGACUUACUAACUAGAUGCUAAGUUAUAACCUAAUAAAAACUAGGAAACAAUUAGAAACGAUGGUCAGUGUACUUAGAUUUCACAUUAUUAUUUGAAUUCUAUAACUACUUAACUAUACAGACUAUCCAUAUUCGGUUCACUUUUUGACUCGAACACCUUUUCAUUAAUCAUACACACACAUUAUGCACUUGACGUAGUAGUAUAAAUUAGGUCGGAGUCUCGUGGAACUUAAGUCAAAGUUGAAACUAUGACUAGUAGACUUUGUUCUUCAAGAUCACUUGAAUCUCAGAACCACUACAUAGAAUGCCAAUAAAUUGAUAAAAUAAGUUUAAAACAUUAUUUAUAACUAUCAAAGAGUUAUAAUACCAUAAGAUAAAUUGAAGUCUCAAAGAUUCUAUUGAUUUUAAUAUCCAAAGAUUUACAAACUCUCAAAAACCCUAAAUGCCCUAAAAACUCAUAUUUAUAAACUUUAACCUUAUAAAUUCUAUAAAAAUAAUUAUGAACCUUAUCAUAUUAUAUUAUAAUAAUUCAAAUUAUGAAAAUACAAUCAAGUAAAAUAAAAAUUGAACUCAUUAACAUUUACCAUUAGAUUAAAAAUAAAAAAUAAAGGUUUUAUGAAUAAAAUCUUGAUUUUUGUGUAUAUUUUAUAAAAGUUUGAUAUUUAUAUAAAAAUUGAGAUAUUUUAUAAAAGAAACUGAAUUUUAUAAAACUUGAAGAGGGAGGGAGUCUCUCUCCUCCUCAAAAUCGUCCCCGUCUUCAAGAGAGCAAUUCAUCAUUUGUUCUUUCGCACACUCUUCUCCCAUCUCUCUCAUUUCUCUCUCUCACACACACCUCCACAUUUUCUCUCUCCUUCACCCUAACCCAUGAAUUUUGGCAGCAAAGUUCAUCCAUUUCAACUCAAAAACAUCAACAUUUGAAGUUGUUCAUGAGGUAAAACAAAAAUCCUUCAUUCCCCCUUCAAUCUUCCUUCAAAAUCCCAAGUUUUCUUACAUAUCUUCUUCUUCUACAACAUUCUAUAGAUGGAUUAUGAAUCAUUUGUUCAUAACAACGAUUUUUUGAUGAUGGUGGUAGUAUUUCACCCAAAAACCAACAUGCAUGUGAUGAUCUUCAAGCUUACAGGCUUGAUCAUCAAAGUAUGUUGUUAAAAAGAUUUCAAAUAUGUCAUAAAAUAUUUAUUCACAAAUAAAUAUCAAAACCUUCUUUCUGAUCAAAAUCGAUUUUUUCCAGAAUCUAGACAACAAAACAUGAUGAUCUGGAAAUUUUCAGAAAGUAAUUCAUUUUUCUCAAAUAUUAUAAUUAUUGCAAUAAAAUAGGGAAAUAAAUCAUAUAAAAUAUUUCUGAAGUCUAUAAAUCCUAGGUAAAUUCAUCGAUGACCCUAAAUUAAAUGAUGACAUCUCUGUGAGUUUCAUCGAUUUUAGUUAUUGUUUGGUAUGGUUUUGAAUUUUCUUUUUGUUUAAUUCAAAUAAAUCAUAAAACCACUUUAGGGAAGUAGAAAAGGCAAUCUUAGAUUUUUCGCAGAUUCUUCCUCAUGUGGAGAACUCGGGAAAAUUUGUUCACAAUUUUUCAUAAUGUAUGCCUGUUUUUCCCCGAUUUUUGUAUUUAUGAUGGACUAAUAAUGGGACAAAUAGUUCUACUAAUCCAAAGCUCAUGAAAAUUUACCAGAAGACCUUCUAAUAAAUUAGAACACUAAAUAAAAAUUUGGAUGACUUUUCUAUUCGGUAUGCUAUUUUUUUUUCUAUUUUAUAAGUUUAAAUACACUUAAAUCAACAAAAUCGGAUUACAUUAUAUAAAAAUCACCAUUGUUAUUUGUCCCAGAUUAUGUACAUUGUACAUGAAGUUUACAAAACUUUUGGUAAUUUAAUUUAACUAUUUGAUAAUUAUUCACCAAUUAAUGAUUAUUUAAGAGAAUAAAACAAUGAAAAAUAGCAAAAUUAAUUGAAAUAUAUAUUUUAUAUUUGUCACAGCUUAUAUGUGUAUAAUAACAGUGUUACAAAAAUUCUGGGCCAUUUUGGAAACUGUAUUCUAUUUAUUUCCAUAUUUGUUAGAGUAAAUGCACAAAAAAUCAUAAACUCAGGUUAAACUAUUUAGAAACCUGUUUUUAUAUUUUUCCCAGCUUAUGUAUAUUUAUGAACAAUAUUAUUAAAAGUUUGGAAAUUUUUAUCAUCUUGAUACUAUUUUUCACGAAUUUAUGUUGGUAUGAAGGCAUUGAAAUUUGGAAAAAUACCUAAUAAGAUUCAAAAUUCAAGGUAAAUUUUCUAGAAGACCUCUACUGUAUUUGGAACAAAAAUGUAAAGUUUGAUGAAUUUUGGAAACUCUUUGAUAAUACUUUUGGAUUUUUAGGAGUUUAAAACACCUUUAAAUGUGUUGAAAUACCCUCAAUUAAUAUUACAAAAACAUGGAAAAUAAUAUCCAUAAUUAUCUUAAUCACAUAAGUUAUAAAAUAUCACCAUUUCAGAAAAAUGUUUGUAACUUAUCAAUAUUAAAUUUUGACACAAUAUUGGCAUAAUUGUAUUGUACUAGCAAGUAUACUAGUGUUAAAUUUCGAUUAGAGGCACACUAGUGUGUACCAUUAUUAUAAGAUUUAGUAGUGGUACAAGCGGAACUUAGAUCAAGACAUCAUUUGCAUCAUCUCAAUGCAUUGUGAGUAUUCAUGACUCCCUUAUUUUCAGUUUUUAAAAUUUUUUAAGUGGAAAAGCAUGUCCUAAGCUAUUUAUGUUCAUUGUAUCUAUUUGACUCGUGUAAACUUGGUUGCUAUAUUUUGCAUGUUGUGAGUAUUCACAACUCCCCCUAUGUUCGAUUUUUAUGUUUUGGGGUAAAAAAACAUGUCCGAAAAGCUAUAUAUUGUUCAUUGUAUUUAAAUUGAUUUGUAUCAAACUUGAUUGCUAUAUUUUGCAAUAUCUCUCUGUGUAUGUCUAUGCAACACGAAACAUGAGGUCUUAUCAUCUUAUGUCCCUUCCAUUUACACUUUGUUCCAACCAUUAACUCUUUGAGCCAAUGGUCAUUAUGGAUAGCGUUAUUAGGAAUUAACAACUCCUUCCACACCCGAUUGAUUGAGUGCAUGAUACCAUAUAAUCUAUCGAACGAUAAGCAUAGAUCUUGAUAGGGCAGCUGUCAUAGGCUUGGUUGCGAACUCAUUGUUUGCUCGUACACAUACAAACUCACUUAUUAAUUAUAGCAAUGAACUUUGUUUCUCAUUAUAGUAAUGAACUUUGUUUCUCAUUAUAGCAAUAAACUUUGUUUCUCAUUAUAAAAACGAACUUUUGUUACUAGAAACUUAUUUACUUGUCUUCUUAACGAAAUUUGUUUAUGCAAACUUAUUUACUCAUUUUUGCAAUAUAUUUCUAUUUAUGGAAACUCUAUUUCCCUUGAGAAUAUGAACGUUGCAUCUCAUUUGGGCAACAUACUUUAUCUCUCAUGAUGACAACGAACUUUGUUUUUGCAAACUUAUUUACUCAUUUUGCAAUAUAUUUCUAUUUAUGGAAACUUUAUUUCCCAUGAGAAUAUCAAUGUUGCAUCUUAUUUGGGCAACAUACUUUAUCUCUAAUGAUGAAAAUGAACUUUGUUUAUGCAAACUUGUUUACUCAUUUUUGCAAUAUAUUUCUAUCUGGAAACUUUAUUACUCGCUUUAGCAACAAACUUCUUUUCAUGAAAACUUAUUUACUUAUUUUAGAAAUGAACAUUGUUUAUGGAAAUUGUUAUCAAUAUUCUGAUUAUCAUGAUUUCAAACUAUAUUAUGUUAUAAACUUGUGACUACUCACCAACUAUUUUUGUAGCUAACGCUCAUUUAAAUGCUUUUUCAGGAAUCAUCGAGUAAGUGGCACUUAGGGACACUUCACUUUUAGGAGCAUUCUUAUGUGUUGUAUUUCAAUUUACAUUGUAAAUUUGUAAUGAUUUUUAAAACUAUGGUUGGUGUUGUCUUUUAACUUUAUCUAUGAAACCCUUUGUACUGCCAUGCCUCGUGUUUCCGCUUUAGUGGGGUGUGACAAUAGGAUUGCAACAUUUCUGUCACACCCCCAAACGGGAACGACCGAAACGUUCGGGGGUGGAUGGCGUCAUAUGUAGUAUCACAACCAUUGCAUCAUAGUAAUCACAGUAAACACGACCAUUACAUUGAUUAUACAUAAUAAGAGAGUUUACAUAUGUUUGUUUCUUAUUUUCACAUAUCAAAAGUAGUAAAAGAAAUAGAUGUGACUCUAUACACUUCGUCUUCUCAAAACUCCAAGAAGUACCUGUCUACUGAUUUCCUGAGAAUACAAGAAGUUUUGAAAGAGUAUCAACAUAAAGCUGGUGAGUCCAUACACGAUGUUUUUGUAAUGAAGACCUGUUGAUGAAUCUGUGAAAAUAUCCGUAUGUUUCCAAGAAAAUCCAAUAUUUUCUUUAGUAAAAGCAUGAUAAUACUUGUUCCUUCUAUUACCACUUAGUUCAUACUAGUCACAUAUACACCAAUAUCAAACAGACAGUGGAUUAUAUGAAACUGCCCUAUGCCCACAACCAGACAAUGAAUACGAAAUGAGGCAGAAACCACACACUCCACAGUCUAUCGAGUACUCUUCAUACGUAACCCUGAUGCAUAAACUAAGGGGUUAUAGAACUAACUAUGUAUGUUUGUUACUGUAUCCUUUGUAGUAUAUGAAACAUAUUAGUCUGUAUGCUUGGUUAAUACUAGUAUGUAUAGAAUGUUAUGUUUGAAAAUCCUGGCUACCACCAGUAUGUAUAGUUUGUUUUUUUAUUUAAAUGAAAACUGAGUUGUGUAUCUCUGAAAUCCUCCAGUGUAAUGUAUAAUAGUUCUAUUAAUGAAAAUAAAACUAAUGAAGAAUGAAAUUCCAUAAAUAAAAGUUAGUUUAUACUAUUGUGAGUGGUAUAACCAUGCUUGAUAUGACCUAGUGACAUUUAUGGCAUUCUUUAAGUGUCGGAUAAAUGACAUUUGUCACCCCAGACAUGUCUGCUUAGCUGUAGCUAGCAGUUUAGGAGUGGGAUUGUCAGUGCCGAAUAACUCUAUUCACAAAUCUCAUGCUCUCCCUCCAAGAGACUCUGGUUAUACUAUAAUAUGAUUUAAUUCAGUACACCUAAUGGUAUAGAUUUGAAGUAGAGUCUCAUAAUUUUGUAUUAACUAGUUUUCAUGUAGUAUUGUCCUCUGUAUUUGAAUCUGUGUGUACAUUGUAUAGGUAACAAUUAUACUUAAAUAAUUAUUAAUUUUUGUACUCUUAUAGUAAUGUAUAUCAUAAAUUAAAUCUGUCAAAGUUUGUAUGCUUAGCAAUGUAUAACUCUGAAUUCAUAAAACUGUGUAUUGAAAACCCCAAACUGUACCUAUUAUGGUUUGUAUGUAUAUUGUGUACUUGGUUCGUAUAUUAAUCUGAAAACUAUGUAAUUUUUAGUUGUAUGUGGAAAAUGUCCCUUAUGCUCAACAUGUUACAAAAGUGAUAAAAUAUCUAAAUAUUUUAUAAAACGUGGAAAUCAUUUGUUAGUAUCAAUUGCAUAAGUUUAAAAACUUGUUAACAUCCUUUUGUUUUGAUUCACAAAAUCAUUUGUGUUUGGCUUGUAUUCCCCAUUGAAAACAUUUAAAUACCAUAAAAUCGUAGGGCCAUGAACUCUUUGUUAGCUGUAUACAAGUGUCGAAUCAACGGACUGAAUGAAGACCCUCGAGUUGUAGUGUGUGUCACUCAACUGAAUCCUAAUAACAAUUAAAUACAUAAAUGUAUAUAAAUUAGCGAUUUUAUUAGAUAAAGUGUUACGAAAACACUUGUUUUCGAUUAAGGAAUGUUACCAGGACUUGAUUGAAUCGAGGAGAGUGGGUUUUCAACCUAAUUCACUGCUUAAGAAGUGUGUAAGGCCGUGAACGGGGUGUAUGGCCGUGAACAUGAUGUACGGCCGUAGACUGCCUCUCGAAGGGUAUACGGCCUUUGAAGGUGUAUGGUAGUGAACCGUAUACGGUCAAUGACCUUGAAGGUAUACGACCGUAUAGUCAAGAACAGGAGUGUUAGAUUCAAUGAAAAAACGUGUCCUAGAUGCUCUGAAAUGAACCUCCAAUGGUGUUUUUCGAUGUUUUAUAGAAGAGUAAAGGUGCUUUAGGGGUGUACGGUCAAGAGUCUAGAGAAAGAACGAGAGAGUGUCCGGUUAGAAAAGUGUAAAUGAAUGGUGGGGGUCUCGUAUUUAUAGGGGUCGUCGUUGGUUGAUGGUGGGGUCCACCCAAUAUUGGCCGUAAAUGAGUGUACGACCUGUUGGGAUUAUUAUGUUGCGUCGUGGGCUCGGUCCUUAGCCCAGUUUUGAUUGUCGGUAUUGGGCCUGUCCAACCGUGCAUGUUUUUGUUCUAGGGUUUAGUAUAUAAGCUGCAUGCAUGCAGUCUUAGGGGUUAACGCUUUUAUCAUUUUCUCUCAAAGAUUUUUCUAAACCCUAGCUCACCUCUACAAUGGAAGUUCUUUGUCGAGCUCUGCUGAGGCGUGAUUUUAUUGAAUCAUAAGCACAUACUUGAUUCUAUUCUGUGUUCAUAAUCUUACUGUGUUUGUCUUGUUUGAUUUUCAUAUUCUUAUCUUUGAAAGAUCAAAUCGAUCUAGAGUUUUAUUCUCAUCAAUUGGUAUUAGAGCAGGAGACUGUGAAAUUCAUACACAUCUCUUCUGUCGAAGAAGUUAUUAGAGUUUUUAAUUCCGCAUUAUUUGAUAUUAAUUGAGCCGUCAUUCCAUAUUGACGUAUCUCAUUAAUCGUUGAUCUAACCCUAACGAUAUAUUACAGGUCUGAUCUUUUAAAGGUAAUCAAUCAAAAAUCAUUACAAUGUCCAUUUAUGAUUCACAAACCAAUCCAAUCAACAUCUCCAGCAGCAUUGGUUCUAUGACAAGGAUUCAAUCUUGUAUACUCAAGACUAUCAAGUUUGGACACAUCACUUUGAAGAUUAUGUGAUUGGAUCGGAGGAUAAUGGAUACUUGAUCUGGGAAGCGAUCACUGUUAGCCCGUUUGCUCACUCAAGCACCUCAAAGAUUGUCAAAACUCAGAAGGAGUACAAUCAGCUUGUUAACGAUGUCAAAGAUAUUCCUCAGGACGAGAAGGAAAAGUUUCAAUGCAGCAUCAAGGCCUUCAGGAUUAUAAGGUUUGCUUUGCUGUCAGAUACGUUUCGUUUGGUAAGUUCUUGUGCCACUGCUAAAGAGAUUUGGGACAGAUUCAAAGAAUUGUAUUCCACUGAUGAAGACGCAGAACAUUCAAUUCUAACUCCCUUGCUCUCUUAAUUUGGAGAUUUCAAGCAGAAGCCCGAAGAGAAACUAGUUCAAGCCUUUGAUCGCUUUAAUCAUCUUUUAAGCAAAAUGAUAAAGCAUGGGAUUGAAAGGAAUGUUAUUGAACAAAAGGUUACUUUCAUGAACGGUCUUAGAUCUGAAUGGAUGGCUGUUGUAUCUACCGUUAAAGCUCAUGAACAGUUCAAGUCGUAUUCUUUGGACAAACUAGCAGGUAUUUUGAAAUCCCAUGAAAGUGCACUAUCUAAGGAAACGAGUGUGGUUUCCAGUUUGGGUUCUUUAGCCCUUGUCUCUAAAGGAAAAAAUCAGUUGAAGAAGAAAAGGAAUUAGAUAUUGCCAAUUAUGGUAUAACUGAUGAAGAAUAUGCCAUGAUGGUAUCCAAUCCCAGAAAAAACAUUAAGAAGAAAUUCCCAGCCAACAAGAACCGAAACUGGUAGGGAAGUUACAGUGCCAAAAAGAUCAAGGAGGAACCAAAGAUGGGGUCGAAGUCUGAAGAGUCAAAGAAAGAAGGGAAAGUUGGUGGAGACUCCGGAUUUGAUUGCCAUUACUGUGGAGGCAAGAACCAUUUUGUAAAAGAUUGUAUGCUGAAAAAGAAAGAAGAAAAGAUAAAUGAUGACGAUGAGGAAGCGAGCCUCCUGAGAAUACUGGAGGAAAUCAAGAAAAGAAUGUCUGCUGCUAACAAUACUAAUAUGAAUGCUUUAAUUGUGCAGGAUGCAGACAACCGUGGUGAAUUUGCUGGUGUGGAAGUAUGGUCCACAGAUUCAGAGGAUGAAGAAGUCAGAAAGCCCACUCAUGGGAAGGCGAUGCUGGCAAAAGAAGAACCUGUAACAGGAAGCUGCUUUGUGGUGACCGAAAGGGUGUCUCGAUUGAGAAGAUAUACAACUGACGGGGGAAUAGAAGACGAUAAGGAGCGAGAGAAAUCGACGAAUGUGAUGAGUUGAUCAAGAAGGUACAAAAUAUUUUUGCUUCCCUAAAUAUACCUGUUACUAAGUACGAAAAGAAAUUAAAUAACUUAAAAUCUAAAUUUUCAAGCAUAAGUAGCAGUCUCACCCAAACGCGCGUCACAAAUUCUAACCUAACUGAUCAAAUCAGCAGGAUAUUGUCGAAGAUUGAGGAAAGGAGGAUGUGGAUAGAGUAGAAGGAGAAAGAGUUUAUUAAGUCUAAAGAUGAUUCGAUUUAUUUACAAAGAGACAAUCUUAAACUUCUUAAACAACGAAAUGUGUUUUGUUUGAUUGCUAAAAGACUUUAUUUUAACAUCACUCAGUUGCAUCUUGAUUGUGAAAUAGGAAAGAAGAUACAGCGCAUGAUUUUACCCUUCCUUGAGUUAAAGGAGGAUGAAAUCGAUGCUGAAGCCUACAACUGUGAAAGCAUUGUAUCUUCUGACCAGGUCUCUCCUGCAUAUAAAAUAGGUCUGGACAAAAUUGAAUCCUACAUUAAGUCCAAAGACCAAAAGGACAUGCUUAAAAAUUUGUUCGACGAGAAUGAUAUAUUGAAAUUAAGAACUGAAACUGUACAUAAAUUUCACUCUUUGAAUACCAAAUUAAGUUCAGAAAAUAAAAUUGAUGUUGAAAAUGCAUCUGAACUUAAUGAGGAUGAUGAUCUGAGUGAAAUCUUUGUAGAGGAUGUCAUUGACUGUUCAGAAUUUGUCAAAAGCGAUCCUAAAUCACGCAAAAACAUGAUUUCUGAAAACUCUGUUGAGUUCGCUCGCUCGUCAACUGACAAGACCAAAGUUAUCAAAGCGAAAGUUGUUGUGUACCAAAAGGUACAAACCACUCUAAAUCAAGUCUACACGGUCCCUGGUGUCACUCCACAACAAAUUGCGGAAUUGACAGCUAUGGUGGAAUAAGAUAAUGCUGGCGGAUGUGACGAGUUCUUCUGGUCAGCACCAAUAGACAACGCUAAUGAGACGAAGGGCCAAUCUCAGAAGACCUCAUGGAGAGUGAAAGGUAGAUAUACACCCGAACCACUAAAUGAGCCUGAAAAAUAUGAUGUGCGAAGCACAAGUGGAACCAAAACUUCAUUGGGCGAACCUGUGGAAACCACUAGUGAAACAUCCUCAGCAAAAAGUGAAUGUUGUGCUAAUGCUUCAAAGAGAAAGGAGACCAUCAACAGAAAUCCAAAACAGGUGGCUGAUCGAAAACACCAAAGAAAUCUGAGAUACAAGAAGAAUCUCUUAGAAAAGAAAAUAGUUUUGGAGAUCGCAAAAUCCUCACUUUGUAAGGAUAGACAGAAAUCACAAAUCGCAAGAGGAAUCAAGGAACCGAAAGGAAAGUUUUGGUCCCACGACCGAAAUGCACCGAAAGGGUAGUUUCGGAGCCUCAACAUAAAGGAACCGAAAGGAUGGUUUCGGUCCAUCUACCGAAAGGAAACGAAAGGAGAGUUUCGGUCCCUCGACCGAAUGGAACCGAAAGGAGAGUUUCGAUCAUUGAAGCAAUAUCAACCGAAAAAGAGGUAUCGACUCUCAACCCAACAGCAACCAAAAGAGCAGUUUGGGUCCCCAUCCCUACAAGUCCAAUCAGAAACACAGGAGAUCCAAUGCCACUUCUGAAUCAAACACUUCACAUUCCAAUUCUUGUCCUUCAAUUUAUUUAAAGGGAAAAGGAAAACUCUUUCCAGAAGAUAACAGACUUCCAUAGGAGAUCCAAAAGAAUGCUGACGUCAACACCACAAACCCCAAUCCUACUAAACCAACCAAAAUUAAAGUUUUCACCAUAAAAAGAAAAGAUGAAACAACUUUAAUUAAACGCACAUACUUAGUUGAUAUUUGUCUUACUAUUCCCUGUCCUGUAAAAGGCUCACAAGGACCCAAGAAACUUUGGGUUCCUAAAUCUGCUUAAUAUUUUGCAGGUUAUACGUGACCAGUAGUUUGAUAAUGGUACAUUGAUAGUUGCUACUCGCGUCACAUGACUGGGAGCAAGGAAGAACCGAGGGAGUUUCGGUCUCUCAAGGAUUUUGGUAUUGUGAAGUACGACAAUAACUCAUUUGGUACUAUCAAAGGCUAUGGAAUGAUCACUAAUGGCGAUUUCUCUAUAAGAAAAGUGGCGUAUGUUGAAGGGCUCCAACACAACCUUAUCAGCGUUUCACAGAUGGUAGUUGGCAAUGGAUUGAAGGUAUCAUUUGAUGAUGAAGGAUCAGAGAUUGUCGAGAAGAAAUCCAACAACGUUUUGCUAAAGUCAAAGCGAAAAGGCGAAAUGUAUCCUUUGAACCUCAACCCAAUUCGAGGUAAACCAGUAGUUUGCUUACUUACGAAGGCUCACUCAGACGAAAGUUGGUUAUGGCAUCGGAGACUUUCUCAUCUGAAUUUCAAGGAUAUCAACAAGUUGGUUUUAGGUGAUCAUGUUCUGGUCUUCCAAUUCUAAAAUUUGACAAAGAACAUCUAUGUGCUGCCUGUGAAAUGGCAAAGCAAAGCAGGCAAAGCCAUCCUUCUAUUAUCAAUACAAAAGUGAUAGAACCAUUAGAGCUGUUACAUAUUGACUUGUGUGGACCCUCGUCCAUUGAAAAUAUCUAUGGAAACAAGUACAUUCUUGUUAUAGUGGACGAUUUUUCUCGAUUUACAUGGGUAUUCUUCUUGAAGAAAAAGUCUGAAGCUACUCCAAAGCUUAAGCGCUUUAUAAAAUAGAUAGAGACUCAACUAAGGAAAGUCGUUCGUAAUGUGAGAAGUGACAAUGGCUUGAAUUCAAGAACAUAGAUUUUGAAGAUUUUCUUGCUGAAAAGGGAACGACUCACAUUUUCUCAGCCCAUUACACUCCACAGCAAAAUGGUAUCGAUGAAAUACGAAACCGAUCUCUAUGUGAAGCAGCUCGAACAAUGCUAUGCUUCGCGUCCUUGCCUUUGUAUUUCUGGGCUGAUGCAAUUGCUGUUGCAUGUUAUACUCAGAACAAAUCAUAUUUGAACAAGCGAUUCUCCAUUACUCCUUAAGAGAUUUUGAAUAAACAUAAACUNUGAUGCAAUUGCUGUUGCAUGUUAUACUCAGAACAAAUCAUAUUUGAGCAAGCGAUUCUCCAUUACUCCUUAAGAGAUUUUGAAUAAACAUAAACCGAAUGUGAAAGUCUUUCAUGUGUUCGGUUCAAGAUGCUUCAUCUUCAACUCCGGAGAGAAUCAAAAUAAGUUUGAUGCUAAGGCUGAUGAAGGAAUAUUCUUAGGUUACUCCCUGAAUUCCAAGGCGUAUAGAGUUCUCAAUAAGAGCUCAAAGAAGAUUGAGGAAACAUACUAUGUCACCUUUGACGAUAGUUAUGUUAAGAAGAUGAAAUCAACAGAAGGUGCAACGCAAGAAAUCUUUCCAAAGAAUGGUCAAGUUAUUACCUCUAUUUCAAAUCUUUUCAAGAAAUAUUUGCUUCUGUUUGAUGAGCCUCAAAAACCGAUUGAUUCUGAAUCAACGGCAAAAGAUAACAAACAUGAUGAUCUAAAACAAAUCAUCGAUGAUGCUGCUGAAAAGAUGGCUGAUGAUCAACCCAAAGAAACCGAAAGGCCAGAGGCAAGCGAACCUUCGAAUGAUCAUCCUAAUGUCCAGGGGGUGGGUCCAUCUCUUCAUCAUGAUCAAGGUUCAUCGUUCCACGGGAGAGCUUAUCGUCUCAUUCUUCUAGUUCUUCUGAGAAUCCAAUUGAAGGAGGGGAUACCAAUCCAGGUACUGAACAAGCGUCAUCCUUCGAGGGGGAGNCGAGAUAAAUUCCAUGAAGUGAUACAAGUGAGCAUGGGUUUAUACCAAUACUCAUAACUUAUGAGUACUCAUGAAUGUUGCAGCAACCAUUGCCAUUUCUAAACACCUUUAGCCAUCUACAAACCCAAUCAGAAACACAGGAGAUCCAAUGCCACUUCUGAAUCAAACACUUCACAUUCCAAUUCUUGUCCUUCAAUUUAUUUAAAGGGAAAAGGAAAACUCUUUCCAGAAGAUAACAGACUUCCAUAAGAGAUCCAAAAGAAUGCUGACGUCAACACCACAAACCCCAAUCCUACUAAACCAACCAAAAUUAAAGUUUUCACCAUAAAAAGAAAAGAUGAAACAACUUUAAUUAAACGCACAUACUUAGUUGAUAUUUGUCUUACUAUUCCCUGUCCUGUAAAAGGCUCACAAGGACCCAAGAAACUUUGGGUUCCUAAAUCUGCUUAAUAUUUUGCAGGUUAUACGUGACCAGUAGUUUGAUAAUGGUACAUUGAUAGUUGCUACUCGCGUCACAUGACUGGGAGCAAGGAAGAACCGAGGGAGUUUCGGUCUCUCAAGGAUUUUGGUAUUGUGAAGUACGACAAUAACUCAUUUGGUACUAUCAAAGGCUAUGGAAUGAUCACUAAUGGCGAUUUCUCUAUAAGAAAAGUGGCGUAUGUUGAAGGGCUCCAACACAACCUUAUCAGCGUUUCACAGAUGGUAGUUGGCAAUGGAUUGAAGGUAUCAUUUGAUGAUGAAGGAUCAGAGAUUGUCGAGAAGAAAUCCAACAACGUUUUGCUAAAGUCAAAGCGAAAAGGCGAAAUGUAUCCUUUGAACCUCAACCCAAUUCGAGGUAAACCAGUAGUUUGCUUACUUACGAAGGCUCACUCAGACGAAAGUUGGUUAUGGCAUCGGAGACUUUCUCAUCUGAAUUUCAAGGAUAUCAACAAGUUGGUUUUAGGUGAUCAUGUUCUGGUCUUCCAAUUCUAAAAUUUGACAAAGAACAUCUAUGUGCUGCCUGUGAAAUGGCAAAGCAAAGCAGGCAAAGCCAUCCUUCUAUUAUCAAUACAAAAGUGAUAGAACCAUUAGAGCUGUUACAUAUUGACUUGUGUGGACCCUCGUCCAUUGAAAAUAUCUAUGGAAACAAGUACAUUCUUGUUAUAGUGGACGAUUUUUCUCGAUUUACAUGGGUAUUCUUCUUGAAGAAAAAGUCUGAAGCUACUCCAAAGCUUAAGCGCUUUAUAAAAUAGAUAGAGACUCAACUAAGGAAAGUCGUUCGUAAUGUGAGAAGUGACAAUGGCUUGAAUUCAAGAACAUAGAUUUUGAAGAUUUUCUUGCUGAAAAGGGAACGACUCACAUUUUCUCAGCCCAUUACACUCCACAGCAAAAUGGUAUCGAUGAAAUACGAAACCGAUCUCUAUGUGAAGCAGCUCGAACAAUGCUAUGCUUCGCGUCCUUGCCUUUGUAUUUCUGGGCUGAUGCAAUUGCUGUUGCAUGUUAUACUCAGAACAAAUCAUAUUUGAACAAGCGAUUCUCCAUUACUCCUUAAGAGAUUUUGAAUAAACAUAAACUGAAUGUGAAAGUCUUUCAUGUGUUCGGUUCAAGAUGCUUCAUCUUCAACUCCGGAGAGAAUCAAAAUAAGCUUGAUGCUAAGGCUGAUGAAGGAAUAUUCUUAGGUUACUCCCUGAAUUCCAAGGCGUAUAGAGUUCUCAAUAAGAGCUCAAAGAAGAUUGAAGAAACAUACUAUGUCACCUUUGACGAUAGUUAUGUUAAGAAGAUGAAAUCAACAGAAGGUGCAACGCAAGAAAUCUUUCCAAAGAAUGGUCAAGUUAUUACCUCUAUUUCAAAUCUUUUCAAGAAAUAUUUGCUUCUGUUUGAUGAGCCUCAAAAACCGAUUGAUUCUGAAUCAACGGCAAAAGAUAACAAACAUGAUGAUCUAAAACAAAUCAUCGAUGAUGCUGCUGAAAAGAUGGCUGAUGAUCAACCCAAAGAAACCGAAAGGCCAGAGGCAAGCGAACCUUCGAAUGAUCAUCCUAAUGUCCAGGGGGUGGGUCCAUCUCUUCAUCAUGAUCAAGGUUCAUCGUUCCACGGGAGAGCUUAUCGUCUCAUUCUUCUAGUUCUUCUGAGAAUCCAAUUGAAGGAGGGGAUACCAAUCCAGGUACUGAACAGGCGUCAUCCUUCGAGGGGGAGAACACCAUCAUCAAUGAUGAUGACAUACUGUCAGAAUUGGAAGAAGAAGUUAAUGCUGAAUUGGAUCCCAAUUGUGAUCCAAAUUACCCACUGCUUAUCAAAUGGACCAAAGAUCACCCUCAAAGUCAAAUUAUUGGGGAAUCUUCAGAAAAGGUGUUAACUCGAUCUCAAAUCAAAGCGAAACAAGCUGCACUCUUUUCACAAGUAGAGUUUUGCAUGUUCAACUCCUUUGUUUCCAAAGUUGAACCGAAGACCGUUAAUUAUGCACUUGAUCAUUCAGACUGGGUUCAAGCGAUGCAAGAUGAGUUAAAUGAGUUUGACAGAAACACAGUAUGGCAACUUAUUCCAACUCCAAAGGAUGCCUUGGUUGGUGGUCUCAAAUGGGUAGUUAGAAACAAGAUGGAUAAGGAGGGAAAUUUAAUUCGCAACAAAGCUUGGUUGGUUGUCAAAGGCUACUGUCAGGAAGAAGGCAUCGAUUAUGAAGAGUCCUUUGCUCCUGUUGCAAGAUUAGAGUCUGUUCAUAUCUUCCUUGCCAAUGCUGCACACACGAACUUUGAAGUCUAUCAGAUGGAUGUCAAAUGUGCCUUUCUCAAUGGAGAACUUGAAGAAACUGUGUAUGUUGAGCAACUACCAGGCUUCGUGAACAAGAAGUAUCCAGAUCAUUGUUAUGUCCUUGACAAAGAGGUAUAUGGCCUAAAACAGGCUCCCAGAGCAUGGUAUGAAACUCUAACUCGAUUCUUAAAAAUGUCUAAAUUCAAACAAGGUUCGGUUGACCCAACCUUCUUUCGCAAGAGAGAAGGUAACCAGCUUAUGAUAGUUCAAAUUUAUGUUGAUGACAUCAUCUUUCGCUCCAUGAAUCCUAGAUUAACAGCUGAAUUCAGGAAGUUGGUGGAAACUAAAUUUGAGAUGAGCUCAAUGUUGGGUUUUGAGCAAUCUAACACUUCCUAAGUGUGCAUGCAACCCUAAUAAACCUUGGAUCUAUGUUUGUCUAAUACAUGCAAAAUAAUAAUUUUUCCAAGGUUCAUAACUUAUCUAACAUGGCAUGGGGAACUUUUAAACAUAAAAGAGUUAGAUGAGAUUACAUACCUUUUGAUGAGAUUGAUUCCUUGGAGUUUGAGAGCCAAGCACCAAUAGUGUGAAUGCCUCAAAUGGAAAUCACAAAUCACCACAAACACUUGGAAACCUUUAGAGAGUGUACACACUCUUGUAAUUUUCGGCCACACACAAGCACACACACUAGUGGCUAUUUCAUGCAACAUAAGCAUGCUUAUAUAGUGUACAUGGUUAGGGUGAAACCCUAAUAACCCAUGACCUUUCCUUUUCCAAGGAUCCAUGGGUUAAAAGCUCCAUGGAUCAUCCAUGGACUUCCAUAUAAGCCUAGNCUGUAAAACUAAUAUCGUCCCUCAGCCCGAUGCGCCUCGCAUGCUGAAAAUGCUUAACCCUCAUCAGUCCCUUCAUAAGGGGAUCUGACGAUACCAUCUUUGCCACGAGGAGUCCUUCUUCAAUCCUAUGUCUUAUGAAGUGAUAUUUUAUGUCAAUGUGUCGGGAUCUGCCGUGAUCUCUUGGUUCCUUGGCUAAGGCAACCUCANUCUAUAGGUUCCUUAAUAGCUGGUACAACUCCAAGGUCUCCGAUGAAGUUCUUUAGCCAUAUCGCCUCCUUCGCUGCUUCACUCGCUGCUAUAUACUCUGAUUCACAAGUCGAAUCAGCCACCGUCUCCUGCUUGGAACUCUUCCAAGAAAUUGCCCCUCCAUUUAAGGUAAAGAUCCAGCCCGACUGAGAGCGGAAAUUAUCCCUAUCAGUCUGAAAACCAGCAUCACUAUACCCUAAUAUUCUCAAGUCAUCACUGCCACCAAGGGUAAGGACCCAAUCCUUAGUCCUCCGCAGGUACUUGAGAAUGUUCUUUACCGCGGUCCAAUGAGCCUUGCCAGGGUUCCCCUGAUACCUGCUGACCAUGCUCAAAGCAAAGGCCACAUCAGGGCGGGUACAAGUCAUAGCAUACAUGAUCGAGCCAACAGCGGAAGCAUACGGUAAUUGGCUCAUCUCAGCUAUCUCUGCCUCUGUACUCGGACUCUGAAUCUUACUCAGUUUGGCAUUGCUUUGGAUCGGUAAAUCUCCUUUCUUGGAAUUCUGCAUGUUGAACCUUUUCAACACCUUAUCCAAGUAGGUACACUAACUAAGUCCAAUUAGUCUUUUACUCCUUUCUCUUAGUAUCCAUAUCCCUAGGAUAUAGGCAGGCUCCCCUAGGUCCUUCAUAGCAAAGCACUUCCCAAGCCAGGACUUAACCUCCUGCAAGGUUGGGAUGUCAUUUCCUAUAAGUAGUAUGUCAUCCACAUACAGUACCAAGAAGCUAACUAUACUCCCACUAGCUCUGACAUACACGCAAGACUCAUCUUCACUUCUCGAGAAGCCAAACUCUUUGACCUUCUCAUCAAAACAAAGAUUCCAGCUACGAGAUGCUUGUUUUAAUCCAUAAAUGGAUUUCUCAAGCUUGCAUACUCUAUUAGGGUACUCUGCACUGACAAAACCCUCUGGCUGAUUCAUGUACACAUCCUCAGCCAACUUUCCAUUAAGGAAAGCGGUUUUGACAUCCAUUUGCCAUAUUUCAUAAUCAUGAAAUGCAGCAAUGGCUAGCAUAACCCUAAUAGACUUAAUCUUCGCUACCGGCGAGAAGGUUUCAUCAUAAUCAAUACCUUGAGUCUGAGUAAAACCCUUUGCAACCAGUCGAGCCUUAUAAGUAUGAACUUUUCCUUCCAUGUCGGUCUUCUUUUUGAAGAUCCAUUUGCACCUGACUGUUUUACGGCCUGGUACAUUGUCAACUAAGUUCUGCACUUGAUUGUCAUACAUGGACUGUAUCUCGCAGUCCAUAGCCUCCUUCCAUUUAGUAGACUUCGCGCCUACCAUGGCUUCCUUAACACUGCUAGGUUCAUCCAAAUUUACUAGUGUACUAUCGCUGAUAAACGUAUCACCUUCCGUAGUAAUAUGAAAGCCAUAAGAAAACGAAGGUGUGUUCCUAACCCGUGUGGAACGCCUCGGAGGUACAGACUUGUCAGCUUGCUCAACAGGAGUUUCCUCCUCAGGUUGAUUGCUAGUGUCUGAGGUUCCUUCACCAAUUGCUUCUUGAAUUUCUUCAAGAUCAAUUUGCCUCCCACUGUCUCCUUGGCUUAUAAAUUCUCUCUCACGAAAGACCCCUCUUCUUGCUACAAAGACCACAUUCUCACUGGGUCUGUAGAAGAGGUAACCGAAGGAUUUCUGUGGGUAGCCGAUGAAAAUACACCUUUCACUUCGGGGUUCGAGCUUAUCAUGAGUCUCACGCCUCACGAAAGCUUCGCAACCCCAAAUCUUGAUGUGGUCUAAAUUGGGAACCUUCCCAGUCCACAUCUCAUGAGGUGUUUUGGUAACCUUCUUUGUAGGGACUAGAUUAAGGAUAUGGGCGGCAGUCUCUAAGGCAUACCCCCAAAAAGAGAUUGGUAGCGAAACUCGACUCAUCAUAGAGCGAACCAUGUCCAACAAGGUUCGAUUACGCCUCUCAGCUACACCAUUCAGCUGUGGUGUCCUGGGAGGAGUCAAUUGUGAGACAAUCCCACACUCCUUAAGAUAGUCAAGGAACUCGGUACUAAGAUACUCACCACCUCGAUCGGAUCGAAGCAUCUUAAUGUUCCUGCCCAAUUGAUUUUCUACUUCCUGUUUGAAUUCCUUAAACCUUUCAAAGGUUUCGGACUUAUGUUUGAUUAAGUAGACAUACCCAUAUCUACUAAAAUCAUCAAUAAAAGUCACAUAAUACCGAUUAGCAUCCCUUGUGGCGGUUUUGAAUGGCCCACAUACAUCAGUAUGUAUUAGGUCCAACAAACCCUCACCCCUCUCACAAGUUCCAGUGAAGGGUGAUUUUGUCAUCUUUCCAAGUAGACAAGAUUCACAACUAUCAUCCGAUUUAAGGUCGAAUGAUUCCAAGACUCCACUCUUUUGGAGUUGGCCUAUGCGUUUCUUGUUUACAUGUCCAAGACGACAAUGCCACAAUGAUGCUUUAUCUAGGCUAGUAGAAGAAUCAAUAUACAACACAUUAUUUCCUAAGUUGUCUACAAUCGACACAGUUUCAUACACGCCAUCACAAGGUAAUGCUUUAAAAUAAAACACAUUAUUAAAGAAAGCAUUAAUACCACCACAUUCAUUAUCAAACGAAAAGGUAAAACCUUGUUUGUACAAAGCAUGAAAAGAAAUAAUAUUCCUCGCCAUUUCAGACGAGUAUACACAUUUAUUCAAAUCUAAUUUUAACCCAUUAUUAAGCAACAAAGUAUAAACUCCAAUCUUGGAAACAGGUGAAGCCUUCCUAUUCCCCAUGAUUAAGUUUAUCUUCCCGUGCUCCACAUCCUCACUUCUUCUUAGGCCCUGCAAAUCAGAACAUAUGUGAAUACCACAUCCUGUAUCAAGCACCCAAGAGUUAGAAUAUGUUGAGUAAUUAGACAAUAUAGUGUAAAUACCUGCAUAGGUGGGUUUCACUUUCCCAUCCUUUAGAUCCUGCAAGUACUUAGGGCAGUUUCGCUUCCAGUGUGCCUUUUCAUGGCAAUAAAAGCAUUCAGCAUCCUUUGGAAUGGCAGAAGGAGUGACAGAACCGUUCUUAGUCUUGGAUGAGGAGCCUUCAAGAGACUUUCCCUUGGUACCCUUCGAAGGGUGCUUCCUCUUUUUCCCUUUGCCUUGCCCAAUAGCUAAAACAGGGGUAGAAGUUGGAGUAGGAGUAGUAGAGGUAACAACCGCUUUACCCUUAAGACCGGUUUCAGCGGUCUUCAAGAGUCCUUGAAGCUUGCUGAGGGUAACUUCCUCCUUGUUCAUAUGAUAUGUCAUUCGAAAAUGAUCAUAACAAGAAGGCAAGGAGUGCAAAAUGAUGUCAAUUGCUAACUCCUCGGGGAUGUUAACAUUCAGCUUCAGCAAACGGUCCACAUACCUUUGCAUCUUUUGCAUGUGGCCCGUGACGGAUUCACCGUCCUUCAUGCGGGUAGUUAUUAUGGAGGAGAUUAUUUCAUACCGCUCCUGACGAGCACUCUGAUGGUACCUUUCCAUCAAGUCUUGGUGCAUCUCAAAAGGGUAGAAAUCUUCAUAUGACUUUUGGAGCUCGGCUGUCAUCGUGGCCAUCAUGAUACAUGCCACCUUAGUAGCAUCUCUCUCAUGUGUCCUGAAUUCAGCGAUCUCCUCAGGAGUAGCAGUAGACUCAUCAAGUUCUUUUAACUCCUUAUCGAGGACAUAUUCCUUGUCCUCAUAACGAGUAACCAUCCUGAUGUUCCUAAUCCAAUCCAUGAAGUUGGAACCAUCAAAGAUGACCCUCCCACAAAGAUUCAUGAGAGAGAAAGAACCAGUUGGGUUAGAGCCCGAAGCAUUAGUGUUGGAAGACAUCUGAAAGAAGAAAGCAAGUUUCGAUUGGAUAUAUAGAAUCCUUAAUAAGACACCCAAAUGUAAUAUUAAGGCUAGGAUCCAAACACAAUAUAUUAUACUUAGAGGAGGGAUGCCGUAAUCUAAGUAAUAAUAUAUUUGAAAUGUAGGUUUUGAGAUUCAUUGAACUUUUCAAUGGCAUGUUUCAAUCUCGAUUGUGCCCUUCAUGUUUUGUGANUGUUUCAAUCUCGAGUGUGCCCUCUCAAAUUUUGUGACUGGGAUGCCGAGGAUCACAAAACAAGGUGUGAAUAACCAUACCAAUUCACUUGGUACCCUUAAUAUUAUCACCUAAUCAAUGUGCCGGUUAACCACACACGCUCCAUUGAUCUAUGACAAACAUUAAGUCACCCUUUGUGAUCCUUACUAGUCCAAGUUAGUGUGCCGGUUAACCACACAUGCUCCACCAACGACUUGGUAAGGUACAAAGUGUGAAUUCCAUGGACCAGCACCAUGUUCACAUUUUGCUAAAAUAACUAAGAUUGGGAAUUAAAAGAGUUUAGUUAUUUUAUAAUAUUCAUUAUACUUUUAAUGAGGAUUUAAAGUCGUUGUUCUACCCGUUCGGCUAACGACCCUCCACCGAUCAAGCAAGCGGUGGGUGAGAGUAUACACCCAUUAAGUCGCCAUUUUAUAGGCAACAACCUUAUACCCACCUUAUAGACCGGCUUCGUGAAUGAGGCCUACUAACGGUAAAACGACUUAUUCUUAUACAUAUAUAUAAUAAUUAACCAUUAAUGUUAUAAAUAGUAUAAGGGUUGAAUUUUAACUAUUAAAACUCUAAGGUUUGGAAUUAAAGUUUAUUAAAGUGUGUGAAACUUUACAAAUUCCAAAACUUGAGGACAAGUUUUGUAACUUUGCAAAACUCUUCAUUUCAUAACUUAUGAAUUAAAGGUUCAUAAAAAUGAAGACUCUUCAUUUUCAUGUAACUUAUGUGUUUUAAGUGUGUGUUAAAUGAAAGUGACCUUUGGUAAUCCAUAACUUGAGGACAAAUUAUGGACUCCAUUAAAACACAUAAAUGAUUAAGAAUUAAUUCUAAACAAUUCAGCAAAUAAUUCCUAUCAUUUUCUAAAUUCAUAAGAACAUGAACAUGAUCAUCAAAAAUUCAAGAAUUAUAUGAACACAUAAAAUCAUGGAUUUUUGAUAUAUGCUAUUGUAAAUGGAUUAGAACAACCAUUACACCAACUAAAAUAAGUUUUACAACACCAAAACAAUUUAGGGUAAUGUUUCCAGUCCAUUUCCAGCAGCAAAAGUCGAGAUUCUGCAUUCUUUCGAUCCUACUCGCCGAGUGCACGAACGGACUCGUCGAGUAGGUUGAAGUUUGCCUUGGACUCGGCGAGUCCCCCCAAUGGACUCGGCGAGUCUAGCAUGCAGACAGCAACGAUUUCGACUUUUUUCACUAUUUUGCAUCAAGUAUCAAACAAGCAAGCCUAGGCUCUGAUACCACUGUUGGGUUUUGAGCAAUCUAACACUUCCUAAGUGUGCAUGCAACCCUAAUAAACCUUGGAUCUAUGUUUGUCUAAAUACAUGCAAAAUAAUAAUUUUCCAAGGUUUAUAACCUAUCUAACAUGGCAUGGGGAACAUUUCAACAUAAAAGAGUUAGAAGAGAUUACAUACCUUUGUUGUGUUGGGUUCUUAGGAGUUUGAGGGCCAAGCACCAAUAGUGUGAAUGCCUCAAAUGGAAUCACAAACACCACAAACUCUUGGAAAACUUUGAGAGAGUAUACACACUCUUGUAUUUUCGGCCACACACAUGCACACACACACUAGAACACUAGCUUUCUCUUAGGCUAUCUUAGGCUCUCUUUCAUGCUCCAUAAGCAUGCUUAUAUAGUAUGCAUGGUUAGGGUGAAACCCUAAUAACCCAUGAACUUUCCUUUUCCAAGGAUCCAUGGGUUAAAAGCUCCAUGGAUCAUCCAUGGACUUCCAUAUAAGCCUAGCCCAUUAACAAAUGAGUGUUAGCCCACACCAUAUAAAACCAAUAGCCCAUAAUCUAAUUAGUCUUCCUUUUAAUCUCUAAAUUAAUUCAUAAUUAAUUUAAGACUAAGACUAAUUAAAUAACAUAACUUUAUAUUAAUAUAUUAUAACUUAUAAUAUAUUAAUAAACAUUUGUGUAUAACUCUCAUAAAAUUAUCCAUAAAUAGUUCGGGUGAAGUGCAACCCAAAUGGACCAUGUCGGGUCGGGUCAAGUGUAUACCAAAUAAGUUAUGGACUUAGACACCUUAUCCAACACUCAAUGGGUCCAAUUAACUUUUUCCUUGGAUUAAACAUUAGAUAGGGACCCGAAGGCAUUUUUAUUAUUCAGGAGGCAUACACCAAGACACUAUUGGCCAUGUUUGGGAUGAUGGGAGACACCAAAGUGAAAGUGCCUAUGGCCUUUGGGACAAAGCUUACGCCCUCAUUGGAGAAACCAUCCGCUGAUAUGACGCUCAAUCAUCAAAUGAUUGGGUCUCAGAUGAAUCUCACAGCUAGUAGAUCUGACAUCAUGUUUUCAGUCUGUUACUGUGCAAGAUUUCAAGCUAAACCACGCGAACCUCAUCUACAAGCCGUGAAAAACAUCUUUCGCUAUCUGAAGCGAACUUCCUCUCUCGGUCUGUGGUAUCCAGCAAACUCAUGAUUCUUUGUUCAAGCAUUCUCAGAUGCUGACUUAGGUGGCUGUGGAUUAGAUCGUAAAAGCACCACUGGAGGAUGCCAAUUUCUAGAUGGCAAAUUGGUUAGCUGGCAAUCGAAGAAACAAACUUGUGUCUCUCUCUCUACUGCAGAAGUUGAAUACAUUGUUGCAGCAUCAUGCACAUCUCAAGUCGUAUGGUUACAAAGUCAACUUAGGGAUUACGGGCUAAACAUGAAGAAAAUCCCACUAUAUUGCGACUCUGAAAACACUAUUAGGAUUUGUCACAACGCAGUGCAACACCCAAAGACUAAACAUAUAGCACUGAUGUACCACUUUAUCAAGGAUCACGUCGAAGAUGAUAACGUAGAACUUCACUUCCUCAAGACGAUCGAUCAACUGGCAGAUAUAUUCACUAAGGCUUUACCAGAAGCGAGCUUCAAUAAGAUUCUACAAGGCCUAGGAAUGAUGCAAGUUGAAUCCGUACCAAAAUCGCAUUCGCUUCGAUAAAGGUAACAAGCGAAAUAGAUCGAACCGAAAUGAACCAAACAUUCGGUCUAUUUCGGGUGAAGUUCGACCAUGAACCGAAAUGAACCGAACGUUCGAUCUAUUUCGGGUUUGGUCCUUUUGAACUCGUUCGCUUCUUCUUCUUAUCAAGGCAUUUUGACUGUAUUCCUUUGUAUACCUAUUUAAAUACUUUAUAUUCAUAAAAUCCAAAAAUAUUUUUCUCUUUCGUUCAACUGGUCAAUUCUCACAAAAUACAAAAACAUUUUUUUAUUUUUUUAUUUUUUUUUAUCUAAUGUUUUUUUUGUAUAAGUGUGAUUCCCGAUGGCGAAGCUAAGGCAGGUAAAUUUUUUUAUUAGUUAAGCGUACCUAGAAGCAUGCUGUUGUAUGUUGACUAAAGCCUUGAAAGAUUUUGAGUGAAGCCUUAAUAACAUGAUAUAUAGAAAUCAUGUAUUCCCAAUCCAAGCUGCAAUUUUCACUCUAAUCAUGAGCUACCUUACUCUACUCACAUUGAGUUUAGAGUUUUCUACUUGGUCAUUCUUUUUCUUUAGAGCAGAGGUACAUUCGCUUCUUUUACCAUCUCUAUCAUUUUUCUCCAUUAUACUUCGUUUCACCAAUAUAACCCUUGAGACUCUCAGUAUUAACCACUGAGGUUUGUGGUUAUACAAAAUCUGCAUUCAUGAUCUUAGUUUCAUGCCACUAUAUACUUAGUGAAACCGACAAUUCAACACCACUAAUGAAUUGACGGUGAAUUUUCAUAUUCAAGAUCUUACUUGUUAGCUAAUGAAAUCUCUUUUUACUUUUGAGUGAUCUUUAUGAAUUUGUCUUACACCAAGGCUUUUCUUACCCUAAAGAUCCAGUUUAAUUUUUUUUAAAUUUCUUUACUUCCUUUUGUUACUAUAAAAUUUAUCCUACCUACUUGUUCAACAGAUCCCAUUGAUCUCACAAGUACUUCAUUCAGUUUGGGUCUUAGGUCAAGUAUCGAAAUUAUGAAUUGAAGAGAAAGCCACCCUUUAUAACCUUCAAAAAGAUGCCUUUCAAUACUUCUUAACAAGUUAUUGAUCGUUAUUUAAUUGGAAAGCAAGCAAGCACUUUAAUGUCUCUUUUGACUUUUAAGGAAGUGAUUGGUGCCUAGAAUCCAUUGUUUUAUGUCUAUUUAAGACAUCCCAGAUUAUCCCAAAACAUUUUCUUUAUUUCUUUAUCUUUUACACUCUAUGCACGGAAAUUUAAAUUUUCCAAACCCUGGUUCUUUUAAGACUGUUCAAUAAAGCAUAACAGACAAUGGCGAUUCAAAUGGACUUUGGGGUGACGAUUGGGAUAAAAUGAAAGCUGACUCAGCGGUUAUCUAAUCUGUUUGGCGAUUUGAAAAAGAAAAUUUUAUGGAAUGGCGUGCAAAAAGAAAACGUCCUUUCUCUUUCCUGCGUCAUCAUCGGUAUGCCAACUGUUCAUCCAUCAAGUCAGGCGCUAUUUUUGAAAUAAUUCAAGAUCUCAUCCGGAUUUUUCUCUCUCCUCCUUGUACGUAUAAAAGGAAUUGGAAUGGUACUCUUUAACCUUUUAUCACUUGCCAAACUCACUCAAAGAACAAAGGCGAUUUCUCUUACUGUUCAUCAUCUUCUCCAAGCUUCUACAAUGGCAGACUCUUCAUCCGUUCAUGAUACUUUUGUUCAUCAACCACUUCUCACAAUCAAACCUCAACAGAACCUGAACAUCGAUCUCACUCCGUUUAUCUAUGAACCCUACAUGCUAUAUGUCGUUGAGUGUCUUAAAUACUCACCUCUCGUCGAAGCUCUGACCAAAGUCGAAGUCGUACCAAUGUCCUGCCUUUCUCUUGUCUACUCCACUACUUACUACGAUAAGGUUAAUGAAAGGAUUCACUUUGAAAUCCACAAUGAGAAGACCUCAAUCUCCAAGCAUGGAUUUUAUGCCCUAAUUGGUCUCUCUCAAGAACAAUCUCUGGUAAACCCUAGAUCCAUCACCACUGGUCAACUUUUUUCUAUGUUUUAUUAGAUGGGGUAUACUGAAACCCUCACCACAAUAACCAAGUUCAAGAAGUCCUACCUUCCACCUCAAUGGAAUGGCCUUUUCACUUUGUUGUUCAAAGCACUCUCUGAGCGAAGCGUCGGCUCAGAUGGGGCGAGCAAGUCUUGUAUGACUGUGCUAUACGGUCUGUACCAUGGGAUAGAUUUGCAUUUUGGAACUAUUAUCUGGCAGCAACUAGUACAAAGGUUGGUCCCUUCAUCCAGGCACUCAGAGAUUUCUUGCGGGCGAUUUUAGUUAAUAAUCACCAGCUGGGCGAUGGAUCACCUUCAUGUUCCAAUCAUGGCGGAUUCUCUUCUCUCCUCCAUCGCUACUUUUCACACAACCAAAAUCAUAGUCACAGAUCCCACCAAGUACUCCUUUAUUGGAUCUAUUCCUGAAACCAUGCUCGCUCGUGUGUCUGCAACGAGUAAUGUUUUACAACAAUACAGGAAGAUUUCGUCUUCAGGUCCCAGGGAGCUUACGCCAGCCAUGGUUCGCUCCAUUGAAGAGGUUGACAAGCCAGCGAAAAGGGGCAAGAAAACUGAGAAUCAGAAGGAGGCACCGGUUUCCAAAUCAACCAAGGGGCAACCCCUAAGAAGCGAAAGUCUGACAAGGCUGCUACAUCACAGGCUUAACCGAAGAAACAAAAGAAGCUUGCUAGGAAGCUUAUACUCCAAUCUUCCAGUGAUUCAAACUCAGAGUAUGUUCCUCCCAAACAUCGGUCUGCUCCUCCUUCAGAAUCUGAGAGCGAAAGCUCUGAUGAUGAGGCUUCAGUUUGAGGUGAUACUCCGCCUCGCUCCCUUACCCCAGAAAUUCCAGUUCGCUCCCACCCUCCUUCACCUCCACCUAUAACCAUCCCAAUAUCCAUCCCUCCAAUAUUUCCUAUUCAAAUCACUCAACCAUUCACUACAAUUCCCAUCCCCACUCCUAUAUUCACAGACACUACUAGCACCACUACUACCACAGGAGCUCAUUCUACCGCUCCUACUCCACCCGUUACAACCACUCCACCUGUAACAACCCAACCACCUGUCACAACCGAACCUCCAGCCACUACCAAACCCUUAUCUCCUACUCAAUCCAUAGAAACUGUUGGGCUGAAGAUAGUUUUUGAUGUUGCGUCUUUUGGGCUCGUUAGAUUAGCCUUGUAUUCUCCGGUUUGGGCCUGUCCAACCGAGAGCCUUUUAUGUAUAGUAUUUAAGUUAAUGCUUGCAUGCAUAUUAGGUUAAGAUUCAAGAUUUCCGAUUUAGCAUUCCAGAGUUUUACGAUAUAGCUUUCUUGUAAUCUUCUAAUCCUUUACAGUUGAUGUUCUUAAUCGAGCUCUUCUAAGGAUUUUAUUUAAUCAUUCGACACCAAUGAUUCAAGCUGUUUUGUUUUUAAUAUUGUGCUCUGCUUUGUUAUUAAUAUUGUGUUCUUGCUGUUUUAUAUUCAUGUACUUGUUCAAGAUCUAAUCGAUCUUCUUAGAUUAAAAGUUGUUUAAUCCCAUCAAUUGGUAUCAGAGCAGGAGGCUGUGUAAUCGAUACACAUCUUUUCUGUGAAAAAGAUUUCCAUUAGGGUUUUUUCCGCAAUCAUCGAUAUUUAUUGAGCCGUCAUCUUAAUUGACGUAUCUUAGUAUUUAUUGUUUUGCCCUAAUCUGCUUUAUUACAAGUCUGAUCUUUGAACAGGUUAUUACGAUCAUUAUGGACGCAACGCAAUCAAACCCUAUUAAUAUUUCCAACAGCAUUGGUUCGACGACAAAGAUUCCAAUCUUAUACACCCAUGACUAUGAAGUAUGGGCACAUCAUUUUGAAGAUUACGUGAUUGGAUCGGAGGACAAUGGUUUUCUCAUAUGGGAAGCCAUUAUCAAUGGACCAUUUUCUCAUUCCGCGACAUCCAGAGUUAUUAAGACGCAAAAAGAAUACAACGAUUUGCUCAAGGACGUGACGAAUAUUGCGCAGGAUGAGAAAGAUAAAUUCCAGUGCAAUAUUAAGGCACUAAGGUUGAUCAGAUUCGCCCUUCAGUCCGACACAUUCAGACUAGUCAGCUCAUGCACUACGGCGAAGGAAGUGUGGGAUAGACUUCGCGAACUGUAUUCAACAGACGAAGAUCUUGAACACUCCAUCCAAACCUUGCUUCUAUCUGAGUUUGGAGAAUUCAGGCAAGGGGCCGAAGAAACCGUGACCCAGACGUUUGAUCGCUUCAAUCAUCUUCUCAGCAAGAUGAUCAAACACGACAUUGAAAGGAAGCUCAUCGAACAAAAGGUUACUUUCUUGAACGGACUGAGAUCGGAAUGGAGAGCAGUAGUUUCCACAGUCAAAGCCCAUGAACAGUUUAAAUCAUACUCUUUGGCGAAACUGGUGGGUAUUCUAAAGUCCCAAGAGAAGAUUGUUGUUCAAGAGAAGAACGUUGUGUCUAGUCUUGGUUCGUUGGCCCUCCUAUCUAAAAGUAAAGCCGUGAUGGAGGAUGAAGAGCUCAACUUGGAAGAAUAUGACCUCACAACUGAGGAUUAUGCCAUGAUGGUAUCCAAUCCUAAGAGGUUCAUAAAGAAGAGAUUCCCCAGCAACAAAAACCGAAACUGGCAGGGGAGUUAUAGCUCUGAAAAGGCAAACAAUGAACCGAAGGCUGAGGAGUCCAAGAAGGAACCGAAGGCAGAUGGCGAUUCCGGAGUAAGCUGUUUUUACUGUGGUGGCAAGAACCACUAUGCUAAGGACUGUGUUCUUAAAAAGAUGGCUGAAAAGGAUGACGGAAAGGAUGAGGAAGCCGUACUGCAGAAGAGGUUGGAUGAGUUGAGGAAGAAAAAGUCUACCGCUAACCCUUCUAUUAAUGCUCUUAUUGUGCAGGGUUCGGUUAAUAACGAUGAGUUCGGUAGCACCGAAGUUUGGUCUACUGACUCAGAAGACGAAGAAGUGAGGAAGCCUACUCAUGGAAAGGCUUAUAUGGCUAAGGAGGAAAGCAGUGGUGGAAAAUGCUUCAUGGUGUCAAGCGCAUCUCAAAUGAGGGGAUACAAUACCGAUGGAGGAAGCAAUGGACCGAAAGUGCAGGAAGAUAUGUGCUUCACAGCCAAACCACUCAGCCAACAGUUCAAUGAGCUUGAUGAACUGAUAAAGAAGGUACAAUCUGUUUUUAUUUCAUCUAAAGUACCAUCAUCCUCAUAUGAGAAAGAACUAAAAAACGUUAACACAAGAAUUUCUCAUUUAGAUAGUAGCUUAACUCAAACUAGAGUCACCAAUUCUAACCUGACUGAUCAAUUAAGCAGGGUGGCGUCGAAGAGUGAGGAGCGGCGUAUGUGGAUUGAGUUAAAAGAGUCGGAAUUAAUUAAAGUCAAAGACGAAAACAUUUAUUUGCAGAGAGACAAUUUGAAAUUGUUAAAACAACGAAAUGUUUUUUGUUUAAUAGCUAAACGUUUAUAUUCCAAUAUUACUCAGCUGCACUUGGACUGUGAGAUAGGCAAAAAGAUCCACCGUAUGAUUUUACCAUUCCUAGAAUUUAAGGAGGAUGAAAUCGAUGCCGAAGCUUACAAUUGUGAGAGUGUGAUUUCGUCUGAUGAUGUCAACCCAACUUAUCAAAUUGGACUGGACAAAAUUGAGUCCUUCAUUAAAUCCAAAGACCAUAAGGACAUGCUCAAAAAUCUGUUGGACGAAAAUGAUAGACUUAAACUGAGAACCGAAACCAUACAAAAGUUUGACUCUCUAAAUGCCAAAGUAAGCUCAGAAAAUAAAAUUGAUGUUGAAAAUGCAUCUGAGCUUAACGAGGACGAAAACAUGAGUGAAAUUUCUGUAGAGGAUACGGUUGACUGCUCAGAAUUUGUGAAAAGCGAAACUGAAAACCACAAAAAUCUUAUUUCUGAAAAUUCUGUGGAAUUCGCUAGAUUGUCCCAACAAAAGUCCCCGAAAUUAGUAGAAAAGGCUGUUGUCUAUCAAAAGGUCAGAACCACUCCGAAUCAGGUAUACAAAGUGACUGGAGUAACCGAACAUCAGACAGCUGAACUCACGGCUAUUGUUAACGAAGACAAUGCUGAUGGCUGUGAUGAGUUCUUCUGGGAAGCUCCUAUUGACAAUGGAAACGAAACCGUUGGCCUAUCUGAAAGAACCUCUUGGAUGAAGAAAGGGAGAUACAUACCUGAACCCUUGAACAAGCCUGAUAAUUUCAGUGAACCAAGCACAAGUGGUACAAAAGACACUCCUCAAGAGGUUGAUCAUUCAGUAAAAGAAGACAUUCCUUCAACGCCAACAGCUCGAAGUGAAACUUCAUCAGAUACUCCUUCCACUUCCUCAGGGCAAACUGAAUCUUCUUCAGAUAUUCCCUCUGCUCCCUCGUUUCAAAGAAAAACUCCUAAAGUUCAAAAGGAAUCAGCAAAGGUUACAUCAAAAGCGAAAGCGAACGUUCAUCAUCAACCUAAACAGAUGAGGGAUAAAAAGAUAGAAAGGAACCUAAGAUACAGGAAAAACCUUUCUGAAAGGAAACAAUUCUGGCACUCCCAGAAUGCAUACUAUUCACACAAGGACAAGAAUCUGAAGUAUGAAAAUAAUCUCGUAAGAAAGCACGAUAAUUCCAACAACCGAAAGCCAAGGUUCGGUUCGCAAGAAGAUACCAACCGAAAGCCAAGGUUCGGUUCGCAAGAAAAUACCAACCGAAAGCAAAGGUUCGGUUCUGAAAAGGAUUUCAACCGAAACCAAAGGUUCGGUUCCAAGAACAACUCCAACCGAACUCAGAGGUUCGGUUCUGAAGUCAGAAGAGAACAAGACUCAAAGGUUAAACCCACCAACGAUCAAAAGCAAAAGGGUCACCUAGAGUCAUCAGCAAGGAAGACACCUCCAUCCAAAUCCAAAUCCUCUCUUCCUAAUUCUUCUUGUUCAUCUCCAUCUUGCUCUAACACUAAUUCCAUGGGUUCUCAAAAACCACGUCCAUCUGCUGAACAGAAGGAAAAGCAGAAAGUCGGUGAAUUCAAACCUGAGUCUAAAGCGAACAAAUCCAAUCCUAACAAAAUAAAAGUUUUCACCAUUAAAAAGAAAGAUGAAACAACUUUAAUUAAAAGAACAUAUCUUGUUGAUAUCUCUCUAACUAUUCCUGUUCCCAUGAAAACCUCACAUGGACCCAAGAAACUUUGGGUUCCUAAAUCUGCUUAAUUUUUGCAGGUUAUAAGUGACGAGCAGUUUGACGAAGAAUGGUACAUCGACAGUGGCUGCUCGCGUCACAUGACAGGGAGGAAAGAGGAACUCAGGGAAUACAGAUCUCUUGCAAAUGGUGGCAACGUUAAGUUUGGAAAUAACUCUUUCGGCACCAUAAAGGGAUAUGGGAUGAUAACGAAUGGUGAUUUUACCAUAAGAAAGGUGGCCUAUGUGGAAGGACUUCAACACAACCUCAUCAGUGUAUCUCAGCUUGUUGGAGGUACAGGUCUCAAAGUUUCAUUCGAUGAUGAAGGUUCUGAAAUCAUAGAGAAAACGACAAAGAAAGUGAUUCUGAAGUCAGAGCGAAAGGGUGAAAUGUUUCCGCUGAACAUGAAACCCAUCAAAGGAAACCCAGCAAUAUGUCUGCUAUCAAAAGCUCAAUCCGACGAAAGCUGGUUGUGGCACAGAAGACUCUCUCAUCUCAAUUUCAAAGAUAUCAACCGACUUGUCACUGGAGGUCAUGUUAGGGGUCUUCCAUUGCUCAAGUUUGACAGAGAGCAUUUAUGUGCUGCAUGUGAAAUGGGAAAGCAGAGUCGUCAAAGUCACCCAUCCAUAAUUAACACAAAAGUUGUUGAACCACUCGAAUUGCUUCAUAUCGAUUUAUGUGGUCCUUCAUCUAUUGAAAGCAUCGGUGGUAGCAAGUACAUUCUUGUUGUCGUUGAUGACUUCUCUAGAUUUACAUGGGUGUUCUUUCUAAAGCUCAAAUCUGAAGCGACUCAAAAGCUGAAAGUGUUUAUCAAGCAAAUUGAAGUCCAGCUCAAGAAGGUCGUUCGCAACAUCAGGAGCGACAAUGGUCUCGAAUUCAAGAACAGGGAGUUUGAAGAGUUUCUUGCAGAAAAGGGAAUUAGCCAUAAUUUCUCAGCUCCCUACACACCACAGCAGAACGGAAUAGUCGAAAGACGAAACCGAUCUCUGUGUGAAGCUGCCCGAACUAUGUUAAGUUUCGCUUCCUUACCUCUUUAUUUUUGGGCUGACGCUAUUUCUGCUGCUUGUUAUACACAAAACAGGUCCUAUCUCAACAAGCGAUUCACGCUCACACCAUAUGAGAUACUAAACAACAGGAAGCCCAAUGUGAAAUUUUUCCACGUUUUUGGCUCAAGGUGUUUCAUCUUUAACUCUAAAGAACACCGCAACAAGUUUGAUGUCAAAGCCGACGAGGGAAUCUUUCUGGGUUACUCACUCACUUCAAAGGCGUACAGGGUCCUAAACAAACGAUCAAGAAGGAUUGAAGAGACAUACUAUGUGACCUUCGACGAUAGCUAUGUCAAGAAGCUACAGGCCAUAGAUGACACUGCCAGGGAAAUCUUUCCUCAAACUGGUCAAGUCACAGUCUCAAUCGCCAAUAUGUACGAGAAUUUUCUGGAUCUCUUUGACGAACCGGAAAAAGCUUCUCUCUCAGAAGCAGGUGCAGCCGACAACAAAAUAGAUCAUAUGAAGCAGAUUGUCGAAGAUGCUGCAAGAAGAAUGCAUGAAGGAGAAUCGCCUACUGAUGAAUCUCCAACCAACAAUGCUUCAGUCGAGGGGGAGCCAAAUUCUCUUGUCGAGGGGGAGCCUAGCUCACAAGUCCAGGGGGAGCCAAGCUCUACUACUUCAACCGAAGGUCCUUCAUCAACCGAAGGUAACUCUCCAACCGAAGAUGCCCCUCCAAACGAAGGUGCUUCAAUGCCUGAAAGUCCAGCACCACAAGAAACCCCUGAACCUCAUGUUUCUCAAGACUCAUCAAUUGAGGGGGAGCAUGAUGAUAUGACGCUUGAUUUCGAUAGCCAAUCUGAGCCUGAAGAGAUGAUCAACGCUGAACUAGAUCCAACCUUCGAUCCGAAUUACCCUCCUCUUACAAAAUGGACCAGAGAUCAUCCUAUCUCUCAAGUAGUUGGUGAUGUAUCUGAAAAGGUUCUGACCCGAUCUCAACUGAAGGCAAAACAGACAUCCUUAUUCUCAAAGGUUGAGUUUUGUAUGUUUAACUCAUUUGUAUCAAAAGUUGAACCGAAGACAGUGAACACUGCCCUCGAUCACUCUGAUUGGGUUCAAGCAAUGCAAGACGAACUAAACGAGUUUGAAAGGAACAAAGUCUGGCGCCUCAUUCCAACUCCUCCGGAUGCUUCAGUUGUUGGUCUUAAAUGGGUUUUUCGAAACAAAAUGGACAAGGAAGGUAAUGUCAUAAGGAACAAGGCUCGUCUGGUUGUCAAGGGAUACUGUCAGGAGGAAGGGAUAGAUUACGAAGAGACGUUCGCUCCAGUAGCUAGGCUAGAAUCGGUUAGAAUAUUUCUGGCCUAUGCUGCUCACAAAAACUUUGAGGUUUUCCAAAUGGACGUCAAGUGUGCAUUUCUCAAUGGAGAACUUGAAGAAACUGUGUAUGUGGAGCAACCUCCUGGGUUCGUGAACGAAAAGUAUCCAAAUCAUUGCUACAUUCUGGAUAAAGCUGUGUACGGCCUCAAACAAGCUCCGAGAGCCUGGUAUGAAACGCUUACAAAAUUUUUAAAGAUGUCCAAAUUCAAACAAGGUUCGGUUGACCCAACCUUCUUUCGCAAAAAGGAAGGUAACCACCUUAUGAUAGUUCAAAUUUAUGUCGAUGACAUCAUCUUUGGCUCUACGAAUCCCAGCUUAACAGCUGAAUUCAGAAAGUUGAUGGAGACUAAGUUUGAAAUGAGCUCAAUGGGUCCUAUUAAUUUUUUCCUUGGUUUAAAUAUAAGACAGGGACCCGAAGGCAUCUUUAUCAAUCAGGAAGCUUACACGAAGACUCUCCUAGCAAAGUUUGGCAUGAUGGGAGACUCAAAAGUCAAAGUCCCAAUGGCAUUCGGCACCAAACUUACCCCUUCACUAGAUAAACCGGCUGUCGACAUCACGCUCUAUCGUCAAAUGAUAGGCUCAUUGAUGUAUUUAACUGCUAGCAGGCCUGAUAUCAUGUUUUCUGUGUGCUAUUGUGCUCGAUUUCAGGCUAACCCACGCGAACCUCACAUGCUGGCAGUGAAGAACAUCCUACGCUAUCUCAAGCGAACCGCCUCCUUAGGUCUAUGGUAUCCAUCCAAUUCAGGCUUCUUCGUUCAAGCCUAUUCUGAUGCUGACCUUGGAGGAUGUGGACUCGACCGCAAAAGCACAACUGGUGGCUGUCAAUUUCUUGAUGGGAAAUUGGUCAGCUGGCAAUCCAAGAAACAAACGUGUGUGUCGCUGUCUACUGCCGAAGCGGAAUACAUUGCCGCUGCAUCCUGCACAUCACAAGUGAUUUGGAUCCAGAGUCAACUUCGAGACUAUGGACUCAAUAUGAAGAAGAUCCCACUAUAUUGUGACUCUGAAAGUGCAAUUAGGAUCUGUCAUAACCCAGUGCAACACUCUAAAACCAAACACAUAGCACUGAGGUAUCACUUCAUCAAAGAUCAUGUGGAAGAUGGAAAUGUCGAAGUUCACUUCGUAAGAACCACUGAUCAACUGGCUGACGUCUUUACCAAAGCUCUUCCAGAAGCAUCGUUCAAUAAAAUAUUGCAAGGGCUAGGAAUGAUGGAAUCAGAGUCAGUUCCUCACACUACCUCUCAACCUCAAACGUAAGAAGCGAAAUCAACCGAACGUUCGGGUUCAGUUCAACCAUCUCACUCGCUCAUUACUUCAAAGGUAGUUUUUCAGUACUGUAUAUUUCGUGUGCAAAAUUUGUUUCUCUUUAUGUAAAAAGUUUUUCCAAAUGGCUUAUCUAAACUCCUUGGUCUCUUCAAAAUUUUCAAAACCGAAACCUCCAGAAGGUUCGGGUUCGGUUUUUCAAAAUUUUGUGGAACGAAACCAACNGAAACCAACCGAAGGUUCGGGUUCGGUUUUUCAAAAUUUUGUGGAACCGAAACCAACCGAAGGUUCGGGUUCGGUUUUUCAAAAUUUUGUGGAACCGAAACCAACCGAACGUUCGGGUUCGGUUUUUCACUCGUUUCCCAAGUUUUUUUUUAAAUCGUAUUUUUUUCUUUUCCAUCUUUUCAAUGUUUAUUUAGUUUUUUUUAUUAUUUUAUUUUUUUAAAAAUAUCAAAACUUCAAAAAUAUUUUUUUCUUUUCGUGUGCUCAUUCGCUUAUGGGGAUAUAUAUUUGAUGGCUUACUUAAGUGUCCCUAGAAGCAUGCUGCUGUAUGUGUCCCAAGCCUCAUAAGAUUUUGAAUAAUAGCCUUCAUGACCUGGUAAACACAAACCUUGUCUUCCCAAUAAGGCUAACUCAUUUAUUCUAAUCGUGAGCUACCUCACUCUUUUCUCACAUGAGUUCAGAGUCUCCUGCUUGGUCCUUUUGUUCGCAGCAGAGGUACUAUGUCUUCUUUCACCAUCCCCAUUACACUUCUCCAUAACAUUCGUUUCAUCACUGUAACCCUUGAGACUCUCAGAAACUACCACUGAGGUUUAUGGUUACACAACAUCUGUGUUUAUGAUCUUAGUUUCGUGCCACUACGAGCUGAGUGAAACCCAAAAUUCAACACCAACGAAUUGACGGUGACCAAUUAACUUGAUCAAGUUUUCACCAAUGAAUUGACGAAUGUACCUUCAUGGAAUCUCAAUUUCUUUUCUUUUUGAGUGAUUCCAAUGAAAUUGUUACACACCAUAACAUUUCUUCCCAAGGGAUCCAGUUUUAAAUUUUUAUCUGAGAUUUCAUAUUAAUCCAAGCCACUACAAAAUCAACUCAAACCUACUUGUUCAACAGACUACACUGGUCUCACAAGUACUUUGUUCACAUUCGUUCUUAUAUCAAGAAUUGAAUUGUUGAAUCAAAGCGAAACCACCCUUAAUUUGCCUUAUUAAAAGAAGCCUUUCAACAUUUAUUAAUAAAUGUUUGAUCGUAAUUCAACGGGAUUCCACACUAACACUUUGAGGUCUCUCUUGACCUUGAAGGAAGAGAUUCGUGCCCGGGAUCAUCAGUUUCGUGUCAUUAUUGACAUCACAGAUAAUCCUAAAAAGAGUUGCUUUAUUUCUUUAUUUUUUUUU
rnacentral:lncRNA from 1 species